rnacentral:lncRNA from 1 species
UUGGCCCAUUCAGUGACGGUCCAAGAGUUGGCCAAGGAUGAGAACAACAAAGCGGCACUUGGUGUUUGCCAAGAGGUGUUGGACUUAGCCAUUGAUGACUUUCAAAAGUCUUUCGACGUGUUAGGGGAAUACGACAUGAGCAAGAUCGGAAAAUACCUUUUGGAACUGAAGACCUGGCUAAGCGGUGCAUUCACGAGUCAACAGACAUGUAUAGACUCAUUCGCGCAAUCAAGUAACGAAUCAUCGCAGAAGAUGCAAUCAAUCUUGAAGACUAGCAUGGAGAUCACUAGCAAUGCUUUGGCGAUGCUUAAUGGGUUAUCCACCAUCGUAAAGGAACUUAACAUUCCAAACGUCGGCAACAUCGACAGCACGGGGUUCAAUCGUAAGCUUUUGUCGGCUGAGGAUAUGCCUGAGUGGAUUAGUCAAGCUGACCGAAAACUCCUUCAAGCAAAACCAAUGGAUUUGAAGCCUAACGUUGUGGUUGCUAAAGAUGGUAGUGGGAAAUAUGAUACUAUUAACAAGGCAUUGGCUGAAGUCCCCGUGAAAAGUCCCGAUCGAUUUGUUAUUCACAUUAAGGCUGGUACUUACAAGGAAAAAAUCAACGUGACCAAGCAGAUGAUUAAUGUUGUAUUCAUCGGUGAUGGCCCAACCAAAACCAUCAUCACAAAUGACAUUAGCGUUGCUAAAAAUCCACCGGUUAGAACAUACCGCACUGCAACUGUUGGUAAGUAGUAUUAUAGACAUAUAUAAGUUUUGGUGGUGUGGUGAGGUGAGGUGGCUAACUAAUAUAUAUGUAUGUAUGUUUGUGAAAUAUUUUAGGUGUGGAUGGGGCUGGUUUCAUGGCCAAGGACAUUGGAUUCGAUAACUCAGCAGGACCCGAAGGUCAUCAAGCAGUGGCUUUUAGGGCAACUGCUGAUAGGGUCAUCAUGUUCAACUGCCAUUUCACUGGGUACCAAGACACUCUUUAUGCUCAUAGAGAGAGACAGUUAUAUACCAACUGUCUCAUUACUGGAACGGUGGAUUUCAUCUUCGGGGAUGCGGCGAGCAUUUUCCAGAACUGUAUGCUCAUCGUGAGGAAGCCAGGGCCUGGCCAAAAUUGCAUGGUUAUUGCACAGGGCAGGAAUGAUCUUGGAACAAACUCAGCCAUUGUGCUUCAAAACUGCACCAUCUCGGGCGCCCCUGAUUACAUCCCAGUGAAGGAUACAAACAAGGCAUACUUGGGGCGUCCCUGGAAACAAUUCGCUAGGUCUAUCAUAAUGCAAUCUCAAAUCGACGACAUCAUUCAACCAGAGGGUUAUGCCCCAAUGACAGGUACCAUAGGAAUAGACACUUCUUUCAUUGCCGAGUUUGGAAAUAGGGGACCCGGUGCUGAUACCAGCCGUAGGGUAGCAUGGAAAGGUAUAAAAAAGAUAGAUAUAAAUGAAGCCAACAAAUGGACUCCUCGCAUCUAUCUUGAAUCUGAGACUUGGAUUCCGAGUUCCGGCGUUCCCUAUAGUCCCAACAUGGUCCCUGGAGUUUAAACAGCUUAUUAUUGAUACCAACGCCAUUAGUAUGCUUAUUAUCAUAUCAUUGUUCUAAUUAUGUCGUUUUUAACUAAUUAAUUAAACAGUUUUUUUAAUCUUUUAUCUAUCUAUGUAUAUAUGUUGAAUUCUUUGGUUUCCCAAUUGUUGUUUCCACUCACUUGAUGUUUGCAAAACCCAAAAAUUAAGUCAACAUUUAAAUAUUAUUGAACUUAAUUUAAUAUAAUUUUUUAAAGAUUAUUUGGAUUGAUAAUGUUGUUUCCCUAAUGUAGACACCUUCCUUUAAAUAGAUUUAAUAAAAUGAUUAUUAUCAAACUUAAUUACAAGAUUUAAUAAAAAUAGUUUAUUAAGCAACAAUUACUAAUAUAAUAUUAAAAAUUAAUAAAAACAAUUAUAUUAUAAAAAAUCAAUCUUAUUUUUUUUAUAUAUAUUUUAUAUAUGGACUUAAGUAAGCAUCCCGCUCAUGGAAUCAAAGAUUUGAUCAAGUGGUAAAGAUUUUUUAACUUGAGCAAAACAAAGAAGAACAUUGUGUUUAUAAAUAUUUAGAGGAUGAAAAGGUGGUCUUUCUCUUUCUAUAUGUCAAGUGAAAUUCCACUAGUUGAGAAUAAUGUAGGGAUAUUGUAACACCCCAUAUCCGUAACCCAAGCCGGGACGGAGUACAAGGCAUUACCUACUUGAUCUCGUACAUUCAAUCCAUUUUAAGUCACCAAGACUCGGUCCAAUUUAAAACAUUUUCAAUUUCUACUUUAAACCUCUUAAUAUAGGCCUAUGAGGCCUAGAUCGACCAUUGGAAACCGUUCGAAAUUUUUCCAGGUCCUUAUCCAAUCUAUGUAAACUUUGCAUUUAAAACAGGGCACACGCCCGUGUGGGAAGGUAACACGCCCGUGUAAUCAUCCUAACAUGGCCGUGUUGAUGACCCGUGUGUUUUACACGGCCUAAACAUCUAGGGACAUGCCCGUGUCCCUUACCCUUGUGGCCAAUUAUUUACACCAUUUUACAAAAUUCAAGUGUAGACUUCACACGGCCUAGACACACACCCGUGUCCCUGGCCCGUGUUGCUCACACGGCCUUGACACACCCGUGCCUUAGCCCAUGUGAGAAAGCUUGAGUAUUCUAUUUCUGACGUCAGCAUACCCACCAUGUCACACGGCCAUAGCACACGCCCGUGUGCUAGGCCAUGUUCUCCAUACGGCUGAGUCACACAGCCGUGUCUCUGCCCGUUUGUUUAUUACCAUGCAUACUGACUUGAAAUUUUUACGUGCAGGGGACACACAGCCUCAUCACACACCUAUGGGGCUAACCGUGUGUCACACACGGCUUAGACACACGCCCGUGUGCCUACCAGUGUGGACAAAAUAAGGCUAUUUACCAAGCCUAUUUGCCACCCCUACCGAUAUAAAUUAACACAAACUCAACCAACACCAAUUCUAGCCUAUACCAUACAACCACUUCAACUACUAUAGACAUUCUUUCAUAAGGCAAUUUACUCAAACCAGGAAAUAUCAUCUUUGCAUAUGAUCAAAAUGAGUGAUAGUCAACAUCAAGGCUAAAUACAAAGUGUGGGGCUUAUCCCAAGCCUACACCUCUAACCAAUGCUUAAGGGCACAAAAUAAUCAAAUCUAAGCCUUAUACAUGCCAUAUUCAAAAAUAUAAAUCCAAUUAUACCGAAGGUUUUGGACGAUAGUGUGAUCGAUAUCUCUGACUCCAAGUGAUCCUUGAGCUAAUUAGGCGACACUAUAAGAAAAUGGAAAGAAAAAGAGGGUAAGCAUAAAAGCUUAGUAAGUUGCAUAUAAAUAAACAUACAACAACAAUUCAUCAAUAGUUGUCAUGCUCAUAACACAAGGAUAAGCAUAAGUAUGACUUACUCAUUACCACCCAUACAAGUCAUGUGCUCUCCAAUGAGCUCAUUUCUCAUAUGUACCAAUUUGGUACUUGUAUCACUUACAACAUGGUUAUGCUUCCAUCAUUAACUAGCAAGCAUACUUGCACCAUUGAACCAAUGGGUACACUACUGGUCAUUCUAUAAACCUUGAUCUAGGGAUAAAGUGCCGAUGCUAUGUCCCAGACAUAGUCUUACACUGGCUCAAAUCUCAAGUCGAUGCCAUGUCCCAGACAUGGUCUUACACUGACUAUCAUUAUCGAGGCCGAUGCGUGUCCUCGACACGUCUUACUCUAGCCCUCGUAUCAAUGUCGAUGCCAUGUCCCGGACAUGAUCUUACACUGGCUCUCAUAAUGUGGCCGAUACAUUUUCCAGACAUGUCUUACACUAGCUCACAUAAGGGACCCGGAUGUCUCAGUUUGAACAUCCGGUUCAUUUCCUAGUAUUUUAAAGGAAUCUCUGCCAUCUCAUUGUUCUUAUGCAUUCUCAAUACUUAAUUAAGCAAUUCAUGCUAUAUCCAUUCCAUAACAAUUAGACACCUAUUUUAUUGAUAUAGUUGCAUUAUUUACAUACAACUUACCUCAGUUUACAAAAUGUACUCGACUAGUUGGUUUAGUCGAUUUGCUUGGCUUUCCCCUGGUCUAGAUUCGGUUUUUGAAAAACUUGAUCUAGAAUAAAAAAUGCGGUCGUUUAGUCACUAAUUAUAAUUAGGCUACUGUAAAUUCACAUAUUUGAUAAAAUGACCAUUUUGCCCUUAGACUUUGGCAAAAUGACCAUUUUACCCCUAUGAUCGAAAAUUAAUUUUUAUCAAAUUUAUUCGUAUUUCAAGCCUAGCCGAACUCUUUCUACUCUUGUAGAAACCCCAAAAUCCCACUAUUUCACACACUUAUCACCUAUUUUGCAACUUAUGCAAAAUAGCCCAUUUAGGUGUUUUCAUGCUAACACCUUUCACAAAAGUUGUUAAGAAAUCUUCUAAGACUCAUAUUCUUCCAUAAAAACUCAGAAAACAUCACAAGUCCAUCCAUGAAAAAACCCUAAACUCUUAAUCAUUUUUCAAAAUAGUCCCCUCAUAUGAAAGCUCAUGCUUUAGGGGUUCCAAAAAUAUAAAAAUCAUCAACUAAGGACAUGGAAAUCACUUACUUGUUGAGGUGAUAAGUUGCUGAAAUUUCAAAGCUUCAAAACCCCUCUUUUUUUGAUAUUUUCGGUGGAGAGAAGGUGUGGAGAAGAAAGAAAAUAAUAGCUAAGCUCAUAGGUAUUAUUUUAUCACAAAAUUAUGUCAUCAAGCCACCUAAUAUUGACCUUUUUUACUAAACUUGUCUCCUAUGGUCGGCCACCUUUUUUCUAGGGUCUAAUUUCUCUUUAAAGGCCCUCAAUUUUAGUUCUCUAGCUAUUUAACACAUUUGGGGUACUAAAAUGCAACUUUUUCCCUUUUUGCGAUUUAGUCCCUUUUAGCAAUCGGGCUCGCAAAUAUCAAAAUUAACUCACCAAAUUUUUCAUACACUAAUAUAAUCAUGUUAUAACCUUAUAAUAAAAAUAAAAAUAAUUUUCCAAACUUCAAAUUUAUGGUCCCGAGACCACUGUUUCGAUUAGGCUCUAAAUCGGGCUGUUACAGAUAUUGUCAUCGUUUAAACUAUAGUUAACCCAACAGUUUAGGAUGAAGGACUUGGAAGAAGCUAAUUUUGUUCUCAGUAUUCAAAUUCUAAGGGAUUGAAAGAACAAAGUGAUGGCACUAUCGCAAGAUUCACACAUAGGCAAUAUAUUGUAGCGCUAUGUUAUAACUGAUUCGAAGAAAGGUAAUCAAUCUUCUAAUAUCGAGAAUUCACCUCUUUUUGAGGGAUUGUCCUAAGAUAUCAGAAGAAAAUGAGAACAUAAGAAGGGUUCAUUAUGCUUCAACAAUAGGAAGUCUCAUGUAUGCUAUGUUGUGCAUGCAAUCGGAUAUCUAUUUUACAGUAGGUUUGGCGAGUCGAUAUCAGGUGAAUCCAAGACUAAGACACUGACAAAUAGUUAAUACAGUUAAUAAUGAUCAAUUAAUAGAAAAUAUUAGGUUUUGCUGCUGGACUCGUCCGUCAGCUUAGUCAAGAUGCAUUGAUAGGCUACUUGUAGUUCAUUUCUAUUUGUAUUAGUCAAACACCCAUCAUGCCAUUCUAUCUAUCUAGGAUUGUUUCUUUCUCUAAAUUUACCUUUUCAGCCUACUUUAAUGACUGACAACUCUUUUCAUAGGUCACAAUGAUUGAUGAUUUGCAAUGCCACAUGAUUACACAACCACAGUAGCCUGCACUUAGCAUUUUUUGCCUCGUAAGAAAGGUGAAAAGUAUGGUUUAAACUUGUCACUUAUCAUGUCUCUACUUGUGUCGUUGCUCCAAACUGGCUUUUCAGAUAUACUCGAGGUAAUGGUUGGCACAGGUGUUGCUAAAUGAAUUAGCAAGGGAAUUUGUACUAAACUUCCUAAAUACCAGAUCUGAAAAAUUUUAAGUUCUUCAAUUCUUGGUUUACUGCAUUGCUUCAUUCGUUGACGACAUGUCUCUUGCAAUGUUAGUGCACUCUGCGAUGCUUGCCGUUCAACAUCUAUACUUGUUAACUGCCCAACUUGAUUGAGUCAUUCUAUAUAAGCAUAAGUUCUAUCUAUCUAUCUAUCUAUAUAUAUACAUAUUUCCAAUUUUGUUUAACAUCCAGAAAAUUCCUUGACCUUCAAAUCCCCAAGGUUCAUGGUUAAAGUCUAAAGGCAUGCAAAGCCUAAUCAAUUCAAGUUUAUCAAUUGGGUCUAUUAUUUUUUUCCAUUUUUGCCUUAAAAAUUCUUGUAUCAAUAGACACUCUUCUACUAGCUCGACCUUAAUUACCAAUGUUUCUAUUGGUUGAUUUGCAUUAUGCUGCUACUGUAUUUCAAAUUUAUUGGUACAAUCCAAUGGUUCUAAGACAAUGAGUUCCAUGAUGGUCUAAUUCUUUAGCUUGCUAGCCAUUUUCCCCACUAGCUCUAUGUCUUCCCCUUCUGUAGUGGUGUUCAACUCAUUUAGAUACUUUUUUGUCUGCUGAUAUGAGUAAUAGUCUAGGAGUUCUCCUUCUUCACAAGCGUCUAUAAUGUCAUUCUCUUCUUUUCUCAACUUCGGACUUAGCACAUCAUGGUACCUUUCUGAUGGUAUAUCAAUAUGGUUGUUAUUAUCUUGGGAAAGAUCUAGGGUUUCUCUUCGAAGUUGACUUAAUUCGAGUAAGAGUAAUCAUUGAAUCUCUUGGAUCUCCUAAUCUUCAUACACUCCUUCUUCGUAAGUAUUUUGAUCAUAAUCAAAGUCUUCGUCGAACCACGUAUAAUAAAAAUAAUCCAUGGCUUUGUGCUGACUGGUUGUUUUGUGCCUAGGAUUCCUAAGAAUAAACAAAUGUAAUUAACAAAAUAAUUUGAAAGUUGUAACUAUAAACCACAAAUUUCCUAAUUAUUCUUUUAAAAUGAAAAAAAUUAAAAUCAAUCUAGUGACAUUGCCUCCCCGGCAACGGCGCCAACAACUUGACCGCCUUUAGACGUACUAACGCCCAGAGUGUGAAUACUGCAAUAAAAUAGAUAAUUACGAUAUAGUAUCAACAACUAUAUGGGUCGAGUUGUAAUAUAGUUUUUACAAUGAAGUAGGUGAGUACUCCGAUGAUCGUACCCAAGAAAAGCAAGUGUUAGAUUAAUUCUAACCUAAAUACCAAAAGAUCUAAUUAGCACUUUAAAUAAAUUAUAAUAUGAAAGUAUAUAAAAAAGGGUUUUUUAAGGUUUUUAAUAAUAAUAAAAUCAAAUAACAUAAAAGAAAUAAAACUUGUUAGAAUUAAGUGACCCAAAUUCUUAUUUAAAUAAAAUACGAUGGAAAAUAAAAUAAAAGUAAAAUCCAUAUAGAACUAGACUUCUUUUAUUUUAUUUUAGAAUAAGGUUUUUUAAACCUUAUUAAACUUCAUCUAUUUUAUAUUAAUUAGUGUAACAACCCUCGCUCGCAUCCGACGCCGGGACGGGGUUCGAGGUGCUACCUGACUUUUACUAACACUUCCAUACUAAACAGGGCCAUGAAAUCUCAAAUAAUUAAAAACUUUUAUUUUCACAUACAAUCUGUCCCAUAUACGGGCUUACGAGGCCCAAAACAUACAUCCGGAGUGGUUCGGGACCCAACCGAGAACUCAUGAAAAACUUAAAAAAUCUCUUGCAUCAAGGCUUCAUACGCCCGUGUGGGUAUAGAGCACACGCCCGUGUGCUAGGGACACACCCGUGUCCAAAAACCUGGACAAAUACAAGGCUAUUUUCCAAGCCAUUUUGUCACACUCACAAUAGAUACACGCAUGCUUAUACAAUAACAUACAACAUGGCAAAAUUAGGUACUUAAACAUUCCUAACAUGUCAUGAUUAUGGCAAUUUCACAUGCAAUAGAUAUCAUAGAUUUUACUCACAUCUUUACCACAUUCAUACUAUAAUCAUUAUAAACUCAUCACAUAAUACCAUAGCACAUGCAUGCAUAAUUAAAAUAGAUUUACAACCCCAUAAUCAAAAUAGGCCAACACAUAUGAUUAAAGCCAAUCACAUACUCUAAUAUUUAAACUCCUAUACAUGCCGGAGGCUCAAAGUACUUGAAAUCACUACACCAAUAGCGUUAGCUUGACAGUGUGAUAAUAUCUCUGACGGCCUCCAGCUCGAGCUAACUUGGAAACUCUAGAAAACAUGGAAAAGAAGAGGGGGGUAAGCUUUCGCUUAGUAAGUUCAUAUGAAAAUAAUAAGCACUCAUUAACUUGUUUUAUCAAUGUUUACAACAUAUUCUCAAGUUCACUACAAGCUGUCUUUCUGACCAAUGGUCACUAAAUUAUUUAUAUAUGGAGAUACGAAACUCCGAAUUAAGUUCCGUUAAUUUUCCCUGAAACUAGACUUAUUUUAAUUUCUUCCAUAAAAUUUUCAGAAUUUUUGGUUAAGCCAAAUAGUACAGUUUAUUUCUCAAAGUUACCCCUAAUUCACUGUCUGACAGUUCCGACCCUUUUGUACUAAGGUUCAAUUAUCUCAUAGUACAAGACUUGAAUAAUAUUCUCGUCUAUUUCUAUUGAAACUAGACUCAUAUGUAUACUUACUAAUUUUUUUCUAGAAUUUUUGGUCAAGCCAUUUAGUACAGUUUAUUAGUUAAAGUUUCCCCUAUUUCAGGGUAUGACUACUCUGACCCUUGUGCACUACAAACCGAAUUUGUUUUCCUUAAAAAUAUACUCAAUAAGGAAUCCAUGCAUGUAAGUUAUGACUCUUAAUAAUUUUUUUAAAAUUUAUGGUGAAUUUCUAAAGUCAGAACAUGGGAUCUUGAAUUCAUUCAGACCCUGUUUCACAAGAAUUCAAAUAUCACACAAUAUGGAAUUCUUUUUGUUCCCCUAUUUAUUUCAUGUGAAAAUAGACUCAUUAAGCUUUAAUCCCAUAUUUUAUUAUGCCUCUAACUCAUUUUACACUAUUUUUAGUGUAUUUUCAAAGUUACACUACUGCAGUAACUCAAAUCUGUCAAGGCUAAAUUACUCAUUCAUGAUCAUUGUUCACAAAAUUAAUACAACAUCGUUUGUAUAAUAUCACCGAGACAUUCAUAUCACAUUUUCAUUUACCAUCUUACCAUAUUGUUGUUAUGUUGAGUUUUCAACCCAAGGGUUAAGUACAUACCUGUUCAAAGUAUCCAUUUCACAACAUUUAUCAAUACAUCCCUUUCAUCUCGAGUAUUCCUCCAUUUGAGUAGAAUUUUACGUGUUGAACACAUCGGAAUAUAAUUCGGAUACAUGGAAAGUUUGCACAUAAGUGCCACAUAUGUAGCCAAGCUACCAUGUAACCCGCCCAUAAGUGAACUCGGACUCAACUCAACGAGCUCGGGCGUUCGCAUCCAUAAGUGAACUCGGACUCAACUCAACGAGCUCGGAUGCCUAGUUACAUCUCACGAACUCGGACUCAACUCAACGAGUUCGAACGUUCGCAUCCAUAAGUGAACUCGAACUCAACUCAACGAGUUCGGAUGCUCAACCAUCCUAGUGACAUGUCAUUUGUAUCCUAAUCUAUUCCUAAGGUUCAAACGGGAUUUUCCUCGAACACAUAUCCUUGCCAUCUUCCGUAAAAUAACAGAUAAUACACAUAACUUGCAUUUUAUUCGAAAAUAACCACAAAGCAUAUAUUUCAUGAUAAAAAUCAGCAUAUCAUAUAUUUAACAUCAAUAACUUAAAAAUAACAAUUAUGCUACAUUAUUUACACAUGAACUUACCUCGAUACCACAAAGGUGAAAAAAAAAACGUAAUUAUCCCUUAAUCGAUUUCUUUCCGUUCUAGGUCCAAAUCUCGAUUUUCAUCAUCUAAAAUAUCACAUUCAACUUAUUAAAACAAUGUACUGAUCAAAUUAGUCCACUGACACACUUGGGCAAUUUUUACAAUUUUGCCCCUAUAUUUUGCCAAAACUACCAGAUUACCCCUAGGCUCGUAAAAUAAUUUUUAUCACAUUUCUUUACUCUUGAGUCUAGAUGAACCAUUUUCAUAACUGUAGCAACUCAUAAUUUCAACUAUUUCACACAUUUACAACUCAUUUUACAACUUAGCAAUCUAGCCCUUUUUAAGGUGUUUUCAUGCAAUUUCUUUCAAAAAAGUUGUUUAUUAGACAACUAGGACUCAUAAUCUUCCAUAAAAAAUACAGAAAACAACACAUUUACUCUCAUGGAAAAACCCUAGACUCUUCAUCAUUUUGCAAAAUAGACCACUCAUAUGAAAGCUCAUGCUUUAGGGGUUCCAAAAAUGUAAAAAUCAUCAAGCAAAGACAUUAAAAUCACUUACAAGCAAGGGAAAUAUGUUUCUGAAAUUUUCCAGCUUCAAAGCCCUUUCUUUGCUGCAUAUUUCGGUGAAGGAGAAGAGAAAAAUGAUAGCUUUUUCUUUUUGAUUUGUUAAUAAUAAAACUAGUCAAAAUUGGUGACCAAAUUUCACCUAAUUUUGACUUUUCAACAAUUUUGUCUCCCAUGGCCGUCCAUCACACUUUCAAUGGCCUAAUUUCACUUUAAAUACCCCCAAUCUAAGAUACAAGGCAAUUUAACACCUUUAGGUAUUAAAACACAACUUUUACCUUUUACGCGAUUUAGUCCUUUUUCGAAAUUGGACUAGAAAUUGCUAAAAUUAACUUACCAAAAUUUACAUGCACUUAUAAAAUUAUAUUAUAGAACAUAAAAUAAUACUAAAAAAAUUUUCUCUAGCCUCGAAAUAGUGGUCCCGAAACCACUGUUUCGACUAGGCCCAAAAUCGGGCUGUUCCUAAUUUUGACUUUUCAACAAUUUUGUCUCCCAUGGCCGGCCAUCACACUUUCAAUGGCCUAAUUUCACUUUAAAUACCCCAAAUUUAAGAUGCAAGGCAAUUUAACACCUUUAGGUAUUAAAACACAACUUUUACCUUUUACGCGAUUUAGUCCUUUUUCAAAAUUGGACUAGAAAUUGCUAAAAUUAACUUACCAAAAUUUACAUGCACUUAUAAAAUUAUAUUAUAACACAUAAAAUAAUACUAAAAAAAUUUUCUCUAGCAUCAAAAUAGUGGUCCCGAAACCACUAUUUCUACUAGGCCCAAAAUCGGGCUGUUACAGAUUAGGAUAAGGUGUUUCAAUCCUACUAGAAUAUGGCUUUACAAGCCUAUAAAUAGACAUAGUCUAUUCCUCUUGUAUUGAUUCAAUUUUUUGACAUAGUAAAUUUUCUUCUCCUCUGCCCGUGGUUUUUUCCCGAAAGGGUUUCCACGUAAAAUUUGUGUGUUCUUUAUUUUUAUUUUAUUUUAUUUUAUUUUCAAAUUGGUAUCAGAGCUUCCGGGUAAUUCAUCUCGAUCACGGUAAUGGCAUCUUUGAAGUAUGAAAUUCCGCUGUUGGAUCGCAACACUAGAUUUGCGUUGUGGCAAAUUAAGAUGCAAGCAGUUAUUGCACAAAUGGAUCUGGAGGAUGCCCUGCUAGGGAUAGAUAAGAUGCAUCUGCAUUUGUCCAACAAAAUUUUGCAGGAUGUGAUGAAAGAGAAGACUGCCGCUGCAUUAUGGAAGAGGUUAGAACAAAUAUGUAUGUCAAAAACUCUAACAAGCAAGUUGCAUAUGAAGCACGUCUUUAUGCUCAUCGUUUGGAGGAAGGUGCAUCUGUACACGAACACUUAACAGUGUUUAAAGAAAUUCUCUCAAACUUGGAGGCCAUGGUGGUUCAGUAUGAUAAGGAAGAUCUAGGGUUGAUUCUACUUUGUUCGUUGCCCUCGUCUUAUUCAACCUUUAGAGACAUGAUUUUAUAUAGCCGCGAAUCUCUCACAGUUGAUGAGGUUUAUGAUUCUUUAACCUUGUAUGAUAAGAUGAAGUAUCUUGUGGUUAAACCCGACUCUUAGGGAGAGGGUCUCAUUGUUCGUGGGAGACAAGAUCGGAAUGCUGAUGAUGAUCGUGGUAGGAUACAGGAACGAAAUCCUCGUGGUAAAUCUAAAGGUAGAUCGAAGUCUUCAAAUAGAGGUAAAACUUGUAACUUCUGCAAGAAGAAAGGACACAUUAAAUCUGAGUGCUAUAACCUACAAAAUAAGAUUAAAAGGGAGGCUGUGAAUCAAAAGGAAAAAUAACCAGAAAAUUCCGAUGAAGCUGAUGUUGUAGAAGAUUACAGCGAUGAUGAACUUCUAGUUGCUUCUAUCAAUGAUUCUAAAGUAAGCGAGAAAUGGAUACUUGAUUCAGGCUGCACCUUCCACAUGAGUCCCAAUCGAGAUUGGUUUACAACUUACAAAACAAUAUCUGAAUGUGUUGUUUUGAUGGGAAAUAAUGCUUCGUGUAAAAUCGCAGGUGUUGGAAUAGUUAAAGUUAAGAUGUUUGAUGGAGUUGUCAGAACAGUUAUGAGGUACGACAUGUUCCAGAAUUAAAGAGAAAUUAAAUUUCGUUGAGUACUCUUGAUUCAAAAGGGUACAAAUAUACAGCUGAAAGUGGGAUUUUAAAGAUUUCCAAAGGUUCCCUUGUUGUGAUGAAAGGGCAAAGAAAAACUUCCAAGUUAUAUCUUUUGUAGGGUUCUACUAUUACUGGUGAUGCAGCUGUCGCUUCCUCUUCCUUGUCAGAUGAUGAUAUUACUAAAUUUUGGCAUAUGCGCCUAGGGCAUAUGAGUGAGAAUGACAUAGUAGAAUUGAGUAAAAGAAGACUUCUUGAUGGGCAAGGAAUUUGCAAACUAAAUUUCAGUGAGCACUGUGUUUUUGGGAAGUAAAAGAGAGUUCGAUUCACUAGAGGAAUCCAUAACACGAAGGGAAUAUUGGAGUAUAUUCAUUCUGAUCUGUGGGGGCCAUCCAGAGUGCCUUCGAGAGGUGGAGCUAAUUAUAUGCUAACCUUUAUUGAUGAUUUUUCCAGAAAAGUUUGGGCGUUCUUCCUGAAGCAGAAAAUCGAUGUGUUUUCCGCAUUUAAGUCUUGGAAAAUUAUGAUUGAAAAUAGACGGGAAAACAGAUAAAAUACCUCCGCACAGACAAUGGCUUAGAGUUCUGUUCUGAUGAGUUUAAUAGAUUGUGCAAGUCAGAAGAGAUCAUGAGACACUUGACAGUUCGUCAUACUCCACAGCAAAACGGCAUUGCAGAACGAAUGAACGGAACGAUCAUGGAGAAGGUUCGAUGUAUGUUGUCAAAUGCCAACUUAUCGAAGUCAUUUUGGGCAGAAGUAGCCUCUACUGCAUGUUUUUUAAUUAACCGAUCUCCAUCCGUUGCCAUUGAGAAAAAGACUCCACAAGAGGUAUGGUCUGAUAACCCUGCUAAUUAUUCUAAUUUAAAGAUUUUUGGGUGUCCUGCGUAUGCUCAUAUUGAUAAUGGAAAAUUAGAACCGAGAUCCAUUAAAUGCGUUUUUCUUGGUUAUAAAGCUGGUGUAAAAGGGUAUAAGUUAUGGUGUCCUGAAAAUAGAAAAGUUGUGAUUAGCAGAGAUGUUGUUUUUGAUGAAACUGCUAUGCUACCUAAGUUAUCUCUUAAAGAAUCUUCCAAUAAAGAAAAUCAAAAACAGGUGGAGCAUCAGAUUAAUACAGAGUCAACUCCUCAAGCCAGAACAAAAGUUGAGAAUAUAGUUGCUUCUUCACCACAAUACUCUAUCACCAAAAGCAGAACUAGAAGAGAAAUUAAACCUCCAAAGAAGUAUGCCGAGGCUGAUCUAGUUGCUUAUGCUUUAAAUAUUGCUGAAGAUAUAGAUACGAAUCAAGAGCCAUCUAAUUAUUCUGAGGCGGUUAGCUGUGAAGACUCAAAAAAGUGGAUGUUUGCUAUGCAAGAAGAGAUGGAAUCACUCUACAAAAACAGAACAUGGGACCUUGUGAAACUUCCUAAAGGUAAAAAAGUUGUUCGUUGUAAAUAGGUGUUUAAAAGGAAAGAAGAGACUCUAGGAGUUGAAGAACCCAGAUAUAAAGCAAGACUUGUUGCAAAGGGUUACAGUCAAAUUUCAGGAGUGGACUUCACAGAUGUGUUCUCUCCAGUUGUUAAGCAUAGUUCGAUUCGAUCUUUGCUUGGUAUUGUGGCCAUGCAUGAUUUGGAGCUUGAGCAGUUAGAUGUAAAAACUGCAUUUCUGCAUGGAGAACUUGAGGAAGAUAUUUACAUGCAACAACUAGAGGGUUUUAUUGUCUUAGAAAAAGAGGACUAUGUUUGCUUGUUGAAAAAGUCCCUUUACGGUUUGAAACAGUCACCAAGACAGUGGUACAAGAGGUUUGAUUCCUUUAUGACUUCUCAUGAUUUCAAAAGUAGUUUUGACAGUUUUGUUUACUUUAAGAAAAACAGUGAUGGUUCUUUUGUGUAUCUACUUCUUUAUGUUGAUGACAUGUUGAUAGCAGUAAAAGAUAAAGGAGAGAUAAGAAAUGUCAAAACACAACUAAGUAAAGAAUUUGAGAUGAAAGCUUUAGGACCAGCAAAGAAUAUACUUGGAAAGGAGAUUCUCAGAGAUAGAAAAACAAGUAAAUUGUACCUAAGUCAGAAGAGGUACAUUGAGAAAGUUCUUUGCAGGUUCAAUAUGCAGAGUGCUAAGCCUGUUAGUAAUCCUUUAGCAGCCCAUUUCAGACUUUCAUCAGUUUUGUCUCCACAAUCAGAUGAUGAGAUUGAGUACAUGUCACAUGUUCCAUACUCUAGUGCAGUGGGAUCUCUCAUGUAUGCUAUGGUUUGUUCACGUCCAGAUUUAUCAUAUGCAGUCAGUGCAGUUAGCAGAUACAUGGUGAAUCCUAGUAAAGAACAUUAGAAAGCAGUUUAGUGGAUUCUAAGAUACUUACGAUGUACUACUGAUGUUUGCUUACAGUUUGGAAGAACUAAAGAUGGAGUCAUAGGGUAUGUUGAUGCUGAUUUUGCUGGAGACCUUGAUAAAAGAAGAUCUCUCAUAGGUUAUGUCUUUACAAUCGGAGGUUGUGCAAUCAGUUGGAAAGCUACUUUGUAGUCUACAGUCGCUUUGUCUACCACUGAAGCUGAGUACAUGGAGAUUACUGAGGCUUGUAAAGAAGCUAUUUGGUUGAAGGGACUCUUUAGUGAACUCAAUGAAGACCUUCAAAUCAGCACAAUAUUUUGUGACAGUCAGAGUGCCAUCUUUCUUACAAAAGAUCAAAUGUUUCAUGAGAGAACAAAACACAUUGAUGUUCGGUAUCAUUUUGUUCGUGAUAUUAUUGCUCGUGGUGAUAUUGUUGUGAGCAAAAUUAGUACUCAUGAAAAUCCUGCAGAUAUGAUGACUAAGUCACUUCCUAUAACCAAGUUUAAGCAUUGCUUAGACUUGAUUGGUGUUCAUUGUUGAAGUUAAACCCUUAAGGGGUUUUAUGGAAGAGGUGGAGAACUUGUUUAUUGAAAGUUCGCAAUGAAGAACUUGUUCAUUGAGAAUUUGUGUCAAGGUGGAGAUUGUUAGAAUUAAGUGACCUAAAUUCUUAUUUAAAUAAAAUACGAUGGAAAAUAAAAUGAAAGUAAAAUCCAUAUAGAACUAGACUUCUUUUAUUUUAUUUUAGAAUAAGGUUUUUAAACCUUAUUAAACUUCAUCUAUUUUAUAUUGAUUAGGAUAAGGUGUUUCAAUCCUACUAGAAUAUGGCUUUACAAGCCUAUAACUAGACAUAGUCUAUUCCUCUUGUAUUGAUUCAAUUUUUCGACAUAGUGAAUUUUCUUCUCCUCUGCCCGUGGUUUUUUCCCGAAAGAGUUUCCACGUAAAAUUUGUGUGUUCUUUAUUUUUAUUUUAUUUUAUUUUAUUUUUUUCUCAAAACUCAAUAGAUAGAAGAGUAGAGUAAAUCAAAUAUUGAUUAUGGGUGAUUAGCUCGCUUUAGUAAUCCUCAUCAGCUAUCACUUCGGGUUCCUCGUCAAUCAACUAGUCGCUACCCUAGCAGGAUCUUCUGGUCUUCCACUAACAUAACAAGUCAGCAAGAACUACUUAUCUUUUGACCUCACAGUUUAGGUUGGUUUAGGGUAAAGGUGUUCAUGAAUGGAAAGUACCAAUUUGGAUUAAUUCCCACCUUGAUGACUUUUCGGGGUUGCCAAGCCUAGGGUUUGUUUUAUGUUCUUCCUUUUCCAAAUAGUUAAUCCGUUGAGUAACCCUACAAAAUAGUUAAUAGAUCAUACAUCCACUCGCUAAUCCCCCAUAAAGGGAUUAGUUCCUCAUGGCUUUCAUAGACAAUAUGAAAUCAAUAUAAAGAGAAAACAUACUAAUUAAAACGAUAAGAUAAAGUAAAUGAAAGAGUCUGAUUGUAUUGAUGUCAAUUGUGAAUCCCCAAUGUUUGAAUGCUUCAACAAUUUAGAUCUCUUGAAAUCAACAAAAACAACCGAAAAAAAUCUAAAACCUAAAAACGAAAAAAAUUUACACUGAAUUUUACAAAGAGAAUUUAGGCCAAAGGAUUGAUGUCCAUAACAAGUGACAAAUGAGUCUAUUUAUAGCCUUCAGGUGGCUAUCAUCCUUAACCCUGGGUUAGCUGAUGUUCCCGAGCUUGAAUGUUUAAUUGUAUAGACCAAAAUACCCUUACUUCGUGUUUUGAUUUCAUCACAGAGUCGAUGUCGUGACAUACUAGGAACUGUAUCGCGACCUAGCAACCAAUAUACUCCUCUGUAGCUAUCUUCAGUCUGUGCCUCGACACCUUUAGUCUGUGUCGUAUUGAUGGUAGUCUUGAAAUUUCUUCAUUUUGCUUAUUAUGUUGCAACAUCAAGCAUCGCAUGUUGUAACAUAGCGGCCAAUAUUAGUUUAGUACACCUUCUAAAGGUCUUCUGCACACUCACCAAGUGCGUUAGCUAUCCCUUAGGCCUUAUUCUACCCAUAAGGUUAAUAAAAGACUCAAUUUGCACAUUUUAUUAAAAGUAAAUAAAACUUAACUAAAACGUAACGAAAAUGCUUGUAUUCAAACUCUUCAAAUACGAAAACUAGUUUGAUCUGCUACACCGAAUUAUGAUAGAUCAGUUAUGCAUGCAAAAUAUAAAAGACAUAAAAUGAAAUUAACUUCAUUUAUUUAUUCAUCAUUCAAUCAAUAGAAAACAAUUAUAUGUUCACCACAAUGUGGGCGCAUUUCCCAGCACUCUACUAGUAAGGACGUCAAGACAUUCACGUCGUCGAGAAGAGCUUUCGUUUCUCAUCGGGACAAGACUAACUGUUUGGGCCUAAUAGAAGCAUUCUCCACAUAUUUGAUGAAACAAUUUAAAUUUAAAUUUAUUUUAUUGUGGUUUUUGGGACUAUAAUUUUUUAAUUUUGGGUUAUGGCAUGGGUUCUUUUUAAGUUCGGAUUUUUGCAUGCAUUCAAUUUCAUUAAACUGAACAAGCCAAAUUAAUCUUCUUAUAGAAUAUGGUUUAAAGUAAUAACUGAUGGUUUCACUUUUUUCGCUGCAAAACAAGAGUUUUGAAAGUAAAAUGACAAAACAAAAAUCAACUAAGUUUACCCAAAAAUGUCACAACACAUAUUAAAUUUGGACUCUUAAGUUUAAAUCGAUGUAAAAUCUUAUGUUUUUGCUAAAUAUAUGAUACUACUCUAAGUUUUCUAAAAAUCAUAAAAAUAAAAGUUAUGAAAACUGAAUUGUUCUAUUAGGCAAUUUCGGUGGCCAAUGUAACUUUUAUGAUCCAAUCAUAAUGUCCAGUUUGAGUUAGGGAAGUUACAGUUACGGGUGAAAAUUUCAAGCAAUUGGAAAAAGAUGGAGUUGAACAGGUGCUCACGAGAGAAGAUGGCUAGAGACAACUACUGCUAACGGCGGGGAAUUGGAAAAAAAAAUUAUUGACAAGCAAGUUUUGUCGAAUAUGAGUGAAUAUGUUGAAUUAUGGGUUGGUGAUGGUAGAAAGUCAAAUAUUGAAGGGGACAUGAAUGGGGUGACGUUGUUUAGUACUGAUAACAUGGGUGUAAACGAGACUAUUAAAGUGGGAGUAAAUAACUGAGGCAAGGAAAGUAAGUGUUGGCAAGUCCAAUUUCAAGAUGGAUCGGAUACUAGCGGUGGGCCAUUCAGAUGGGAAGAAGGUUACGUUGAAAUAGCUGAGGUGAUGGGUGGAGAUAAUAUAACUGCAGGCAAGGAAUUGGUUGAAAUUACGAAGAGGCAAUUGAAUAGGAGUAUAUAGCCAAAGGAGACAAUAAAGUUUUCUUAGUUACAAAAUAGGAAGUUAAGUUUAAGCCUCAACCAAAAAAUCAAAUACAUUAUUUAACACUGAUCCUGUAAAAAAAUGUCCUGCACUAUUAAAAGUGGCUGUGUGAAGACGUACAACCCAAUUGCGCAAUCUCUAACCCCUUUAGACAUCACAUCUACCGCCAUGUUCGUCAUCCUUGAAGGAGGCAGCAAACUUAUUUAAUAAUAUGAUUUGAAUUAAAUAUAUGUAAUAUUAUUGUACCGCAUUAAUAUUAUGAUUAUAGUAAUUAUUAUUAUUACAAUUUCAACUUAUGAACAGGUUUGCUUUCACUAUAAAGAAUGCAUAUUAACAGUCAAAAUUUAAACAUAUUAGAUAAAAAUAAAUUUUUAAAUAAUUUUACAUAAUAAUAUUUUAAUUAAAAAAUAAAUUUGAGAAAAGAAGAAUGCCACAAAGAAUGAAUAUAUACAUUAUUAUAUUAUAUUAUUUAUGAUAUAAUAUGAUAUUAUUUCUUACAAAUGUUUCGAACAACAUUAGUUACCAUUUAAUCCACAAAGCUUUAAUUUAUAAGUGUCAAAGAAAAAUAGUAAAAUACGAAAGUUAAUAUUUUGUGGAAUGUGAAAAGAUUUAAAAAAGUGAUAUUUAAUUUACAAUUUAGCAUUUAAAUUAAAUUUAUAUAUUAAUUAUUUCAAUACUUACAAUAUCAAUUUAUCUAAAAAAUAUUUUACUCAAACAUUUAUAAAUAAAAAAAGUAUAUAAAUUACAUCCUAGCAUUAGCCUUUUUUUAAACAACUUCAAAGUCAGAGAUUUUAGAAGAACAAGAAAUCGAAGAUUAAAACACCAUAGUUUUAUAGAGCGAUUAAUAUCCAUGAAAUAUAAACAAAUUCUCACAUCCGUAGGGCACUCUCCACCGUGAAACAUUUUAAACUAAAUAUGGCCAUUUUUUUAGUUUUACCUGAUUCCUUUUUCAAUAUAAAUAUGGACCUUCAAUAGCAUAUUAUUCAAGCCUUUGCUCAAAGGGCCAUAAGUGAUAAGCAAUAAACAGCCCCACAACUUCAAAUAAGGUUUUCUUCUUUCUUGCUUUCUUUUCUUCAGGGGAAAGAAAGAGAGAAAAAGAUACUUUUUUUUGUAAAAAAGUUGUUUAAAAAUGGCAAAUAAUGCUAUUAUUGGUAUCUGUACGGUGUUCCUGGUGGCCAUGGUGGUAGCCGUGGUGGUGGGUGUUACGCACAUAAAAAGCAAGAACGAUGGUGAAAAGAUAUCGAGUUCGAACAAAGCUGUGCAAGCCUUAUGUCAACCCACGAAUUAUAAAGAGACAUGCCAGAAAAGCUUGGCGUCGUCAAAUUCUAGCGACGUUAAGGAGCUGAUGAGGACAGGUUUCCAAGCCGGGCUAGUCGAGAUAAAGAACGUAUUGGCCCAUUCAGUGACAGUCCAAGAGUUGAUCAAGGAUGAGAACAACAAAGCGGCACUUGGUGUCUGCCAAUAGGUGUUGGACUUAGCCAUUGAUGACUUUCAAAAGUCUUUCGACAUGCUAGGGGAAUAUGACAUGAGCAAGAUUGGAAAAUACCUUUUGGAACUGAAGACCUGGCUAAGCGGUGCAUUCACGAGUCAACAGACAUGUAUAGACUCAUUUGCGCAAUCAAGUAACGAAUCAUCGCAGAAGAUGCAAUCAAUCUUGAAGACUAGCAUGGAGAUUACUAGCAAUGCUUUAGCGAUGCUUAAUGGGUUAUCCACCAUCGUGAAGGAACUUAACAUUCCAAACGUCGGUAACGUCGACAGCACGGGGUUCAAUCGUAAGCUUUUUUCGGCUGAGGAUAUGCUUGAGUGGAUUAGUCAAGCUGACCGGAAACUCCUUCAAGCAAAACCAAUGGAUUUGAAGCCUAACGUUGUGGUUGCUAAAGAUGGUAGCGGGAAAUAUGAUACUAUUAACAAGGCAUUGGCUGAAGUCCCCGUGAAAAGUCCCUAUCGAUUUGUUAUUCACAUUAAGGCUGGUACUUACAAGGAAAAAAUCAACGUGACCAAGCAGAUGACUAAUGUUAUAUUCAUCGGUGAUGGCCCAACCAAGACCGUCAUCACAAAUGACAUUAGUGUCGCUAAGAAUCCACCGGUUAGAACAUACCGCACUGCAACUGUUGGUAAGCAGUAUUAUAGAUAUAUAUAAGUUUUAGUGGUGAGGUGAGGUGGCUAACUAGUAUAUAUGUAUGUAUGUUUGUGAAAUAUUUUAGGUGUGGAUGGGGCUGGUUUCAUGGCCAAGGACAUUGGAUUCGAUAACUCAGCAGGACCCGAAGGUCAUCAAGCAGUGGCUUUUAGGGCCACUGCUGAUAGGGUCAUCAUGUUCAACUGCCAUUUCACUGGGUACCAAGACACUCUUUACGCUCAUAGAGAGAGACAGCUAUAUACCAACUGUCUCAUUACUGGAACGGUGGAUUUCAUCUUUGGGGAUGCGGCGAGCAUUUUCCAGAACUGUAUGCUUAUCGUGAGGAAGCCAGGGCCUGGCCAAAAUUGCAUGGUUACUACACAGGAAAGGAAUGAUCUUGGAACAAACUCAGCCAUUGUGCUUCAAAACUGCACCAUCUCGGGCGCCCCUGAUUACAUCCAAGUGAAAGAUACGAACAAGGCAUACUUGGGGCGUCCCUGGAAACAAUUCGCUAGGUCUAUCAUAAUGCAAUCUCAGAUCGACGACAUCAUUCAACCAGAGGGUUAUGCCCCCAUGACCGGCACCAUAGGAAUAGACACUUCUUUCAUUGCCGAGUUUGGAAACAGGGGACCCGAUGCCGAUACCAGCCGUAGGGUGGCUUGGAAAGGUAUAAAAAAGAUAGAUAUAAAUGAAGCCAACAAAUGGACUCCUCGCGUCUAUCUUGAAUCCGAGACUUGGGUUCCGAGUUCCGGCAUUCCCUAUAGUCCCGACAUGGUCCUUGGAGUCUAAACAGCUUAUUAUCAAUACCAACGCCAUUAGUAUGCUUAUUAUCAUAUCAUUGUUCUAAUUAUGUCAUUUUUACUAAUUAGUAAACAGUUUUUUUAAUCUUUUAUCUAUCUAUGUAUAUAUGUUGAAUUUAUUGGUUUCCGAGUUGUUGUUUCCAUUCACUUAAUAAUGAUGUUUACAAAACCCAAAAAUUAAGUCAACGUUUAAAUAUUAUUGAACUUAAUUUAAUAAAUAUUUUAGAAGGAUUAUUUGGAUUGAUAAUGUUGUUUUCUUGAUGUAGACACCUUACUUUAAAUAGAUUUAAUAAAAUGAUUAUUAUCAAACUUAAUUACAAGAUUUAAUAAAAAAAUAGUUUAUUAAGUAAUAAUUACUAAUAUAAUAUUAAAAAUUAAUAAAAAAAUCAAUCUUAUUUUAUAUAUAUAUAUUUUUAUAUAUGGAUUUUAGCAAGCAUCCCGCUUAUGGAAUCAAGGAUUUGAUCAAGCGGUCAAUAUUUUUGAAUUUGAGCAAAACAUAGAAGAACAUUGUGUUUAUAAACAUUUAGGGGAUGAAAAUGUGGUCUUUCUCGUUCUAUAUGUCAGGUGAAAUUCUACUAGUUGAGAAUAAUGUAGGGAUAUUGUCAUCGUUUAAACUAUGGUUAACCCAAUAGUUUAAGUGAAGGACUUGGGAGAAGUUAAUUUUGUUCUGGGCAUUCGAAUCCUGAUCGAAAGAACAAAGUGAUAGCACUAUCGCAAGAUUCAUACAUAGCCAAGAUGUAAUAACCUGUUUUUCAGUGGUAUCAGAAAUAGUGGUUUUGGGGCCACAAAUCCGACGAGUAAGUUUAUAAAUAUUAUCAUUUAAUAUUUAUGAGUCAAAUACGGUUUUAAAAAGGUUUUUGAUUUGGUAAUUUAUGUUAUAUAAAUGAUAAAUUAAGUUGAAGUUGUAAAACCCUAAAGUCAAGUAGUUUUAGAAAAUGAGGUAUCGGGACAUCGUUUCUAUAUAUCAAGUUGUAAAUAUUUUUAUAAAUAUUUAUGGAGUAUUAUUAAGGUUGUAUUAAAGUUUCGUUAUGAAAUUUUAAUAUUUAAAAGGUUAAUUAGGUGAAAAGGACUAAAUUGAAAAAUGUACAAAAGUUGAAUGAUAUUAGUUAAAUGGAUCUAAUAGAUAUGGAAAGGUAAAUUCUUGGACCUGGAUGGUAAUUGUACCAUAUUUAAUGUGAGUGGAUAUUCUUAGGAAGGUUGCAUGGUAAAUCUUCUAAAUUUUAAAGGUUAUAAUAUAAUUAAUUAAUAUAAACUAAAAUAACUUAACCAAAAAUUAUCAUCUUCUUCCUUGUUUCAAAUGCUUUAACCAAAUGGUUAUGGUGGGUGAUGAAAACCCAUUCGGCUAGUUUUUUGGGGUGCUUGGUAAGCUAUUUUCACCCAUUUCUUUUAAUUUUUAUGUUUUUGAGAUCGUUGCAACUAGGUCUAGCUAGUUUGUACCUUCGAUUUUGAAACUGUUAAAGAUAUUGAAUUUUUCCAUUGAAGAAUUUUGUGAAUUAAUUUGAAGUGUUAGUUAGUAUUUAAAAGUAUUUUGUUAAAUAAUUUUUGAUGAAUUUCCCGAUUAGGGACUAAAUUGUUAAAAUAAUAAAAAUACAUGGAUUUUAUGUGAAUUUAUUUAUAAAUAUGGGCUGUAUUGGGAGCUAUAAACACUUAGCUAAGCUCAAAAUUGGGUAACAAUGGUUAAUCUACAUGUUUUAGGUUCAGGGACUAAAUUGAAUAAAAGCAAAAUGUUAGAAACAAUUUUGUAAAAAUGUAAAAAAUGACUAAAUUGCAUAAAAUAAUUUUUUUUACUAUCUAUAUUAAUAAAUUGAAUGAAAUUAUUAAUUUAGAUCAAGAUUGAGUGGAAAAUCAAUGAGAAUAAAAAAUUACCAAAAUGCCUAUGUACUUUGACAUUUCUGCAAUUUAGCUAGGUAAAUUUGUACAGUUAGAAUUUAACAUCAAUAUGAAUUUUUGAGUAGAUUAACAUGGUACAAAUUAUAUAUUUAUUUUUAAUUGUUGAUAAUUAAUGGUAAUUUGAUAUAUAAUAUUAAAUUUGAUGCUCGGUUUGGACUGAACGCGGGAUAAAGUACAAUCGUGAUUUGUGUUUUAGGGGUUUAGAGUGGAGAUGGUAUUGGAGGGAGAUGUUUGUAUAUUACCUGCGGUUCAGCAGUUGUUAUGAACUCUCGUGUUAUACUCUCUGUCUGGAGUGUUUCGGUUGGAUUAGCUCUUAUGAGCUUCUGUCCGGCGUGUUUCAGUUGGAUUAGCUCUUAUGAGCUUCUGUCUAGUGUGUUCAGUUGAUCUGACUAUGCACUCUUAUCUGUAAGUUGUUCUUCAAAUGAAAAAUCUAGGUAAGGUAAUAUGCUUAAUGAAUUUGAAAGAUUUGUUAUUUAUUGAAUAUUGAUCUGAACAUAGAUGAAUUCAUCAGUUGAAAUUGUGGAUGCUAGGGAACUCUGUAACACCCCCUAACCCCAAAUUGUUACCAGAACGAGGUUAUGAGGCAUUACCGAACAUAUCAGACAACUUACGAAUAAUUUACCAUUAAUAUAACUUUCAUAGUAUAAUAUAAUAAUUAAGUCCCUAUCUUGAACUCUCGAAGUUCAAACACGUAUUAAAAGUAGAACGGGACUUGUUCGAGUAUUCCAAUUUUUUUUUUAUAAAAAUUUUGGCAGCAUUUCUGCUUAUUUUUACCUAAACCUCCUGCAAAUUCAAACCAAAACAACCAACACCAAUAUUUCACAUUCAUAUACUAAUAUUUAUAUUAUUAACAAAAUUUUAAUUUAAUAAGUAUCAUAGCAUCAUUCAAAAUUGAUUAAAAACUUCAUUCAUUUAACAACUUAAUGUUCAUGUAUCAAAAUAUCAUGUACUUUCUUUACCAUUUCAUUUAACCAUCUAAAUUUUAUAAUUCAUCCUUCACUACCCAAAGUAAUAUACAUAUUCAGGUGACUACCUAUGUACAUGCCACCUUUACCCAAAAGAAAAAUAUACAUCACCAAGUUUGUGUUGGAGUCAGGAUUGUUCUGGAUCCUGAGCCGGGACACUUGAUUCCUACUAACCUGCGCACGGAAACAACCGUACGCUGAGUAUGGAUAUACUCAGUGGUAUUACUAUAAAUCAAGACUAUUUAACAUUAAUAAAUUACAAACAUCAACCAUAAAUUUUAUAAUUAUUUAAACUACUUUUAUGUAAAAUUAUUUUACUUCAUAAAUCUUAAAUUCAUAAUUUAUUUUUCUCAUACUAACUCAAUUCAUAAUUUAGUUCAUACAUUCUUUCUCGUACUUUUCAAUAGUGCUAAAACAAAUAAUCUCAUUUUCAAAAUUUCAUUUCAAUUAUUUACCCUAUUAACAAAGCUCGGACUAUGACAGAUACGCGGAUUCCAUCCAAACACACCAGAAUGUCCAACCCAAACACACCCGGAAUAUUGUAAAUCCUCCAUAACACACCGGUAUAAUAUAUCCUCCCAAACACACCAAUAAGGCAUUAAAUGCCUAUUCAGAUAAACCGAAGUAUAUAAUAACAGAAACAUCCUCUCGGCCGAACUACAAUCUCUUCAUCACAUCACAAAUCCAAUGGCAUGCCAUUUGUAUCGGAUUUAGUCCGACAAGUUAAUAGGGUAUUUUUUUUUCUAAUUUCAAUUUCAUUUACAGAAAAAUUUUCAAUACUCAUUCAAUCCAAAUAUCUAUUAUCUUAAUUCAUAUACAAUUUAAUUUUCACACAAGUGUAUACCAUCAACACCAUACAUUUGUCACAAUUUAUUUAUUUUCAAUCAAUACACUUUUCAAAUAAUCACAUAUUCCAUAAUUUACUUAUUCAAUUCAACUUGAUUCAAUUUAUAUCACUUUCAUUUUCACUCAAUAUUCAUAUCGAUUUCACAUACUUACCUCAAGUCUUAUUUACCAUACAUAACAAUUAAAAUUUCAGCAAUCAAUAAUAAUUAAAAUUUGAAUUAUAGUAAUACACACCGUAAUUCUCCCGUUUUAGUCCUCGAUGACUUUCUCCUUUCCUUUCGAUGCUGAUGCUUCCGGUUCUUUGUUGGCUACGAAAAUAAUAGUAAUUUACAUUAUUAUUUACAGCAUUAAUUAUAAUAAAUAAUUAAAUUUCUAAACAACUCCUACCUUAUUCCCAAUUUAAUCCUAACUAAACUUAAUUAUUUUCUUAAUCCAAUUCACUCUCUUUUUCUAUUCAAAUUUUGUCUAAACUUAUAUUUAACUAUAAAAUUUCCAGCAUAUUUCCCUAAUUUCUAAAUUUCUUCAAUUUAGUCCCUACAACAUAAAACUUAUAGCCUAGUUUACAAUUUAAUCCCUUAAUCAAUUCUAACUUAGAAUUCAUUCAAUUAAAUCCCUAAUUCCAUAAAUUUUCCAACAUGAACCCUACUUGGAAACAUAUGAACUCUUGAACUAUCAACUUAAUUUCAUCAAAAUCUUGUUUCAAAGCUCCAAAAACAUCAAAAUUAACUAAAAAAGACUUAAUUAACUUACCAAAUUAACUCCAAGCUUCAAAUCCUUAGUUUUCUCUUUUAUUUUUCUUUCCCCUUUUCUUUCUCUUUUUCUCCCCUGCUUCCCGUUUUCAACUCUGUUUCUAUUUCCUUUUGUUUCUUUAUUUCUUUAAUUCUUUUAUACUUUAUUAUUUUAUUAACAUAAUAUAAUAUUAAUAUAAUAUAUUAAAAUAUAUUUUACUUUAAUAUUAAGUAAAUUAAUAAUUAUAUAACAAGUGUACAUAUUUAUAUUAUUACAAAUGUCAUUAUCUAAUUUGCUUAUUAAAUAAAAAUCUCAUGAUUUAAUUAAUACAAUUAAUAAUUAUAAAAUAUUUUUAUACUUAAAUUAUAAGUAAUUAAAUAUUUAAAUUACAAAUGUACCCAUACAAUUCUUACACAUGUAUAUUUUAUUAUCAUACAAUUGUCUUCUAUUUAAUUUAUUUAUAAUAUAAUAUCAAUUAAAUAAUCAUAACAAUUUAAUAUAAAACCAUAAUAAUAAUCAUUAUAAUAUAUAAAACCUAAAAAACAUCUUUGAUUUUAUUUCACCAAUAUGCCACCUCAUUUGUAGUCAAUGGCUUAAUUGUCAUUUUAAUCCUUUUUAUUUUCUAUUGCUUUAUAAUUAAACUUUUACCCUUUAUUCAAUUUAAUCCUUUUUAUUACUUACUCUAAAUUAAGCUAAAUUCACUUAAUUAGAUCCUAAUUAGACACACCACUAGGCUCAUAAAUAUUUUAAAUAAUUAUUUUCGAACUUAUUUCACUAAGACGGAGGCCCUAUAACUCACUUUUCCGGUGCCCGUGAAUUUCAGGUCAUUACAUUUCUCCCCCCUUAAUAAAUUUCGUCCUCGAAAUUUACCUGAGAAGAGAUGAGGAUAUUGUACUCUCAUAGUUUCCUCUGGUUCCCAAGUCGCUUCUUCAACAUUAUGAUUUCUCCAUAGGACUUUCACUAAAGGAACCUUUUUAUUUCUUAAUUCUUUCACUUCUCGUGCUAAAAUUUGAACCGGCUCUUCUUCAUAUGAUAGAUCAGGUCGAACUUCAAUAUCUUCUGUAGAAAUUAUAUGAGAAGGAUCUGAUCUAUAUUUCCGUAGCAUCGAAACAUGAAAAACAUCAUGAAUCAUUUGUAAGUCAGAAGGUAAAGCUAAUCGAUAUGCAACUGGUCCAAUUCUUUCCACUAUUUCAUACGACCCAAUAAAACGUGGGGUCAAUUUUCCUUUCCGACCAAAUCUCAAAACUUUUUUCCAAGGAGAAACCUUAAGAAAUACUUUGUCUCCAACUGAAUAUUCAAUGUCCCGACGUUUCAGAUCAGCAUAAGAUUUUUGUCUGUCAAAAGCUGCUUUUAAUCUCUGUUGAAUCUUCUUGACUGUUUCUUCUGUUUCACGAAUCAAUUCUGGCCCAAUUACUUUUCUUUCAUUCAAUUCCGUCCAACAUACUGGUAAUCUACAUUUUCGACCAUAUAACGCUUCAUACGGAGCCAUCUGAAUACUAUAUUGGAAACUAUUAUUAUAGACAAACUCAGCUAGUGGCAAAUAUCGCUCCCAACCUGCUUCAAACUCAAUAAUACAAGUUCGAAGCAUAUCUUCUAGUACCUGAAUUACCCGUUCGGACUGUCCGUCAGUUUGGGGAUGAAAAGCUGUACUGAAACUAAGUCUAGUACUCAACGACUCAUGUAACUGUCUCCAAAAUCUCGAUGUGAACCGAGGAUCUCGAUCUGAAAUUAUUGAUAUCGGAAUGCCAUGUAGUCUAACAAUGUCUCGAAUAUACACAUCUGCAAGCUUCUGCAACGACCAAUCAGUCUUGACUGCUAUAAAAUGUGCUGACUUGGUAAGUCUAUCAACUAUCACCCAAAUAGCAUUCUUUUUGCUUGCUGACAACGGUAAUCCCGUAAUAAAAUCCAUCGUGAUGCGAUCCCAUUUCCAUUCAGGAAUAUUAAUAGGCUGAAGCAAUCCAGUAGGAACCUGAUGUUCUGCCUUUACUCGUUGGCAAGUCAGACAUUUACUUACAAAUUCUACUAUGUCUCUUUUCAUCCCUGGCCACCAGUAUAAUUCUCUUAAAUCUCGAUACAUUUUCGUGCCUCCGGGGUGCAUAGCAAACGAACUAUCAUGAGCUUCACGUAGAAUUAACUCUUUGGGCUCAGAAGUAUUUGGAAUACAAAUCCGAUUUCGAAACCUCAAGCAUCCACAAUCAUCAAUACUAAAAUUUUCUACUAUGCCAUUCUGUACCAUCUCUCUUUUCUUCAAUAAUUUGUCAUCUUCCAACUGAGCUGAUCUAAUCUGAUCAAACAUUACCGAUUUUACUCUUAAUUCGGCCAAAAUACUCCCAUCAUCAUUGAUACUAAGCCGUGAAAACAUUGCUCUUAAUUCAAUUACAGCUUUUCUGCUUAAUGCAUCAGCUACAACAUUAGCUCUUCCCGGAUGAUAGUCUAUAACACAAUCAUAAUCUUUCAGAAGCUCGAUCCAACGCCUUUGUCUCAAAUUCAAUUCCUUCUGAGAAAGAAGAUACUUCAAACUCUUAUGAUCAGUAUAGAUGUAGCAUUUUUCACCAUAAAGAUAAUGUCUCCAAAUCUUCAAUGCAAAAAUCACAGCCGCUAACUCAAAAUCAUGAGUGGGAUAAUUCCUUUCAUGUGAUUUCAAUUGAAGAGAUGCAUAGGCUAUUACCUUCCCAUCCUGCACCAAUACACAACUCAAACCACUCAAAGAAGCAUCACUAUACACUAAAAAUUCUUUACCCGAUUCUGGCAAUGUCAAAACUGGUGCUUCGGUUAACAUUCGCUUCAAUGUUUCAAAACUUUUCUGACAUUGAUCAUCCCAAAUAAAAGGAACAUUCUUCUGCAAUAGUUUCGUCAUUGGUAGUGCUAUCUUCGAGAAUCCAUUUACAAACCUCCUGUAAUACCCAGCUAAACCGAGAAAACUGCGUACCUCCGAUACAUUAUUUGGCACCUUCCACUGAACAAUUGCUUCGAUCUUUUUCGGAUCAACUCGAAUUCCAUCUGCAGAUAUUACAUGUCCCAGAAAUACCACUUCUGAUAACCAGAACUCGCAUUUACUAAGCUUUCCAUAUAACUGUUUCUCUCGUAAAAUUUGUAGAACUAUUCGAAGAUGCUGAUCAUGUUCUGCUUCUGUCUUCGAAUAUACCAAUAUAUCAUCAAUGAAAACCACCACAAACUGAUCUAAAUACAGCUGAAAGAUAUGAUUCAUGAGAUCCAUAAAAGCAGCUGGGGCAUUUGUUAACCCAAAUGGCAUUACCAAGAACUCAUAAUGGCCAUACCUCGUACGAAAAGCUAUUUUCGGUACAUCACUUUCUUUUACCUUCAACUGAUAGUAACCCGACCUUAAGUCAAUCUUCGAAAACACAGAAGCUCCUCUCAACUGAUCAAAUAAAUCAUCAAUGCGAGGCAACGGGUACUUAUUUUUAAUUGUUACCUUGUUCAACUGUCGGUAAUCAAUACAAAGUCGCAUAGAGCCAUCUUUCUUUUUAACAAACAAUACUGGAGCUCCCCAGGGUGAAAUGCUUGGUCUAAUAAAUCCAUGAUCUAGUAAAUCUUGUAACUGCACCUUCAACUCUUUCAACUCAGUGGGCGACAUUCGAUACGGAGGUAUAGAAAUUGGUGUUGUACCUGGAUACACCUCAAUAGCAAAUUCAACCUCUCUGUCAGGUGGUAAGUCCGGUAAUUCUUCUGGGAAUACAUCUGGAAACUCACGUACAGUCCUAAUCUGAUUGCACUAACUCCCAACUGAAUCAGAAUUAAUAACAUAUGCCAAGUAUGCUGGACAACCCUACUGCAGUAAUUUAUUAGCCUAAAUCGCUGAAAUAAUGCGUGUCGAACCACUGGUACGGAUGCCAUUCACUUCAAUUCUAUUCCCAUUUUUUGUCUGAAUACUAAACCUCUUUUUAUAGCAAUCCAAAACUACCCCAUGUUCAUAUAGCCAGUCCAUACCCAAAAUGAUAUCAAAAUCACCAAAAGGCAUGAUCAACAAGUCCACAAGAAACAUUUUAUCAUGUAUUAUUAACGGGCACCUCCGACAUACUCUAUCUACUAACACCGUUUGUCCCAAAGGGCUAGACACUUCUAUAGAAACUUUAGACAUUUCAGAUUCUAAUUUCCCCGAUUCGACUAGUUUUGAAUUUAUAUAUGAGUGUGACGAACCCGGAUCAAUUAAAGCAUAAAUAGGCUCAGAAUACAAUAGAAAUAUACCUGUAACAACAUCAUGUGCAUCGCCCUCCUCACGGGUCCGGACUACGUAAGCUCUGGCCGGCGCUCUGGCCUCUGACUGUUGUGUAACUAUAUUGCUGUUUCUUUUGACACCUCCACCUCUAGACACAGAACCCAAACCACCCGUACUAGAUCCUCUGCCACGAACAGUAGGUACUGAUCUUUGAGAUGUUGCAGGUGUGGCACUUUCACCUUUCGGACAAUCUCGAAUGAAAUGAUCUGUGGCCCCACAUCGAAAACAUCGUCGAGUUAUCCUCCAACAUUCACCUAAAUGUUUCUUUCCGCAAUGCUCACAGUCUAGAAUUUCUAUACUUCGGGAUGGACCUCUCACACUACUAGUAGAUAUUGUCAUCUCUUUACCUCUGCUUCUACCACUUCUAUCUGAACUAAAGCUGGAUCUCCAGUCACUUCUUGAUUCUCUGAAUCUCUUCGGUAAUGGAUUAGAACUAGUAGUUCCCAUACAUUUCCCAGCUGAUUUACCAAUUUCUGAUUUUUUAUCCAGACCCAGUACUUGUUCUAUCAUUUUUGCUCGCUCAACCAGAUCAACAAGUUCAGUAAUUCUGAGACUUACCAAUUGAAUCUUGAUUUCAUCUCGCAGUCCCCGUAGAAAUCGUUUACAACUAUCAGCCUCGGUUGGAACAUAUUCUAAAGCAUACCUGCUCAAUCUAGAGAACUCUCACUCAUAAUCCAGUACUGACAUAUUCCCCUAUUUCAACACUAAAACUCUUGCUUUUUCUCUUCGAUGUACAAUUCCCUAAUAUACUUCUUCUUAAAUUCUUUUUGAAACAAGUCCCAAGUUACCUGAUCAUCCGGCAAAUGUCUAACCACAGAUUCCCACUAGAGAUACGCUUCUCCUUGUAACAGUGAUACAGCACAUAUCAGACUCUCUCAGGGGGUGCAGUCUAAUUGUUGCAAAACUCUUUUUGUUGUUUCUAUCCAAUUUUCAGCAACGGAUGGAUCAGCUCCUUUUAAUCCCUGAAAUUCCGUGGCACCAUAUUUUCGUAGCUCUUUAAUUGGGGCCUGUCUGACAGUAGGUACAGAUGUAGUAGCAGGUAUAGCUCUCACUAUGUGCUGUAAUGCAUCAGCUAUAUCUCUUAACACUUGAGAGGUAUUUCUUUCUCUCCCUACGUUAGGAGAUUGAUUAUUUAACGGAUUCACACCAGGUGUAACAGAUUCAGUUUCUUCUAAUUCUCGACUUCCAGUAUACAUUUCCUGUUCAACAUUAUCCAUUCUUUCAUCUGACAUUUUAUCUAUAAAACAAAAUCAAAUAAAUACAUUAGCAUCCAAAAAUCCCGACUCAAUUUCGACUCGACAGUGGCAUGUACUUCUAAACUCACUUCUGAGCCCAAUUUAGCCCGAGAAUCGACUAAACCUGAUAACUCUGAUACCAACAAUUGUAACACCCCCUAACCCCAAACCGUUACCGGAACGAGGUUAUGAGGCAUUACCGGACAUAUCAGACAACUUACGAAUAAUUUACAAUUAAUAUAACUUUCAUAGUAUAAUAUAAUAAUUAAGUCCUUAUCUUGAACUCUCGAAGUUCAAACACGUAUUAAAAGUAGAACGGGACUUGUUCGAGUAUUCCAAUUUUUUUUUAUAAAAAUUUCGGCAGCAUUUCUGCUUAUUUUUACCUCAACCUCCUGCAAAUUCAAACCAAAACAACCAACACCAAUAUUUCACAUUCAUAUACUAAUAUUUAUAUUAUUAACAAAAUUUUAAUUUAAUAAGUAUCAUAGCAUCAUUCAAAAUUGAUUAAAAACUUCAUUCAUUUAACAACUUAAUGUUCAUGUAUCAAAAUAUCAUAUACUUUCCUUACCAUUUCAUUUAACCAUCUAAAUUUUAUAAUUCAUCCUUCACUACCCAAAGUAAUAAACAUAUUCAAGUGACUAAAUAACACCUAUGUACAUGCCACGUUUACCCAAAAGAAAAAUAUACAUCACCAAGUUUGUGUUGGAGUCGGGAUUAUUCUGGAUGCUGAGCCGGGACACUUGAUUCCUACUAACCUGCGCACGGAAACAACCAUACGCCGAGUAUGGAUAUACUCAAUGGUAUUACUAUAAAUCAAGACUAUUUAACAUUAAUAAAUUACAAACAUCAACCAUAAAUUUUAUAAUUAUUUAAACUACUUUUAUAUAAAAUUAUUUUACUUCAUAAAUUUUAAAUUCAUAAUUUAUUUUUCUCAUACUAACUCAAUUCAUAAUUUAGUUCAUACAUUCUUUCUCGUACUUUUCAAUAGUGCUAAAACAAAUAAUCUCAUUUUCAAAAUUUCAUUUCAAUUAUUUACCCUAUUAACAAAGCUUGGACUAUGACAGAUACGCGGAUUCCAUCCAAACACACUAGAAUGUCCAACCCAAACACACCCGGAAUAUUGUAAAUCCUCCAUAACACACCGGUAUAAUAUAUCCUCCCAAACACACCAAUAAGGCAUUAAAUGCCUAUUCGGAUAAACAGAAGUAUAUAAUAACAGAAACAUCCUCUCGGCCGAACUACAAUCUCUUCAUCACAUCACAAAUCCAAUGGCAUGCCAUUUGUAUCGGAUUUAGUCCGACAAGUUAAUAGGGUAUUUUUUUUUCUAAUUUCAAUUUCAUUUACAGAAAAAUUUUCAAUACUCAUUCAAUCCAAAUAUCUAUUAUCUUAAUUCAUAUACAAUUUAAUUUUCACACAAGUGUAUACCAUCAACACCAUACAUUUGUCACAAUUUAUUUAUUUUCAAUCAAUACACUUUUCAAAUAAUCACAUAUUCCAUAAUUUACUUAUUCAAUUCAACUUGAUUCAAUUUAUAUCACUUUCAUUUUCACUCAAUAUUCAUAUCGAUUUCACAUACUUACCUCAAGUCUUAUUUACCAUACAUAACAAUUAAAAUUUCAGCAAUCAAUAAUAAUUAAAAUUUAAAUUAUAGUAAUACACACCGUAAUUCUCCCGUUUUAGUCCUCGAUGACUUUCUCCUUUCCUUUCGAUGCUGAUGCUUCCGGUUCUUUGUUGGCUACGAAAAUAAUAGUAAUUUACAUUAUUAUUUACAGCAUUAAUUAUAAUAAAUAAUUAAAUUUCUAAACAACUCCUACCUUAUUGCCAAUUUAAUCCUAACUAAACUUAAUUAUUUUCUUAAUCCAAUUCACUCUCUUUUUCUAUUCAAAUUUUGUCUAAACUUAUAUUUAACUAUAAAAUUUCUAGCAUAUUUCCCUAAUUUCGAAAUUUCUUCAAUUUAGUCCCUACAACAUAAAACUUAUAGCCUAGUUUACAAUUUAAUCCCUUAAUCAAUUCUAACUUAGAAUUCAUUCAAUUAAAUCCCUAAUUCCAUAAUUUUUCCAACAUGAACCCUACUUGGAAACAUAUGAACUCUUGAACUAUCAACUUAAUUUCAUCAAAAUCUUGUUUCAAAGCUCCAAAAACAUCAAAAUUAACUAAAAAGGACUUAAUUGACUUACCAAAUUAACUCCAAGCUUCAAAUCCUUAGUUUUCUCUUUUAUUUUUCUUUCCCUUUUUCUUUCUCUUUUUCUCCCCUACUUCCCGUUUUCAACUCUGUUUCUAUUUCCUUUUGUUUCUUUAUUUCUUUAAUUCUUUUAUACUUUAUUAUUUUAUUAACAUAAUAUAAUAUUAAUAUAAUAUAUUAAAAUAUCUUUUACUUUAAUAUUAAGUAAAUUAAUAAUUAUAUACCAAGUGUACAUAUUUAUAUUAUUACAAAUGUCAUUAUCUAAUUUGCUUAUUAAAUAAAAAUCUCAUGAUUUAAUUAAUACAAUUAAUAAUUAUAAAAUAUUUUUAUACUUAAAUUAUAAGUAAUUAAAUAUUUAAAUUACAAAUGUACCCAUACAAUUCUUACACAUGUAUAUUUUAUUUCCAUACAAUUGUCUUCUAUUUAAUUUAUUUAUAAUAUAUUAUCAAUUAAAUAAUCAUAACAAUUUAAUAUAAAACCAUAAUAAUAAUUAUUAUAAUAUAUAAAACCUAAAAAAAAUCUUUGAUUUUAUUUCACCAAUAUGCCACCUCAUUUGUAGUCAAUGGCUUAAUUGCCAUUUUAAUCCUUUUUAUUUUCUAUUGCUUUAUAAUUAAACUUUUACCCUUUAUUCAAUUUAAUCCUUUUUAUUACUAACUCUAAAUUAAGCUAAAUUCACUUCAUUAGAUCCUAAUUAGACACACCACUAGGCUCAUAAAUAUUUUUAAUAAUUAUUUUCGAACUUAUUUCACUAAGACGGAGGCCCUAUAACUCACUUUUCCGGUGCCCGUGAAUUUCAGGUCAUUACAAACUCUCAUGGUUGAUUAUUAUUGUUUGAACUGUUGUAUUUACUUCGGUAAGAUUUAUCGUUUAAUAUGUCGAACUUACUAAGCUUCUUUAAGCUUACUUAUAUUUUUUAAUAUUAUUGUAGAUUCUCGGAAGGUUGGACGACCGAAUCAGCACUCAGGUCACACUAUCCAACUCAAUUCGAUAGUUUUUGGAAUGUUUAAUUUAGCUUAUAUGGCAUGUAUAGGCUCUUGUGUGAUUAUCGUUAAUGUUUUGGUUUAUAUAAAAACUAUAGAUGAUUUUUUGUGUAAAUGGUCAACUUAUAUAAUAUAUGAGAAUGAGGUAUAGUUUAUAUGCUAAUGUGAAUGAUAUGUAUUAAAGAAAUGUUGUGAUUGAGAUACCUUUGAUAGGUAUUUUGGAUAGGUAUUGCUUGAAUGAAUUGAUAAUUAUUUUGAUGUAUAAUUAUAUAUACUUGUGGUACCAAUGAGGGUACAUUGGUUAGGCACUUAAUAGGUUGUUUUAGUGUGUUUUUGGCUCGAUUAAAGUCAUUUUGAUUUGGCAUUUUGGUUGGCAUUUGAGUUUCUUAAGGUCCAAGCAAACUUGAAAUGCUAAUCUUGUGUUUUAAGGUUCAUUUUGGGUACACAUGGUCUGAGACACGGGCGAGUGUCUCAACCUUGUGUGACACACGGCCAUACGACACUAUCGUGUGUCCCCUGUAGGUUAAAGGCAUGCAAGUCAGCGAGUUACAUGGCCUAAGAGACAGGCGUGUGUCACAGUCGUAUGACCCCGGUAGUCCAAAUUUUUCAACUUUUUCCUAAACUUUCCAAAUAUUUCUGAUUUAGUCCUGGAUUGAUUCUUUUAUAUUCUUAGAGUCUCAAGGACUCAAUUAAGGGAUGUUAUGAAUGUAUUUGAAUUAAUUUAUAAUAUUUAUUGUAUUAGUGUAUGAAUUGAAUGGUUUACUGUUUCAUUUUUUUGGUAAUGCUUCGUAACUCUGUUACGACACCAAAUACGAGUUAGGGGAGUUACACAAGAUAUUGGAGAGCUGUGCUAUAACUGAUUCAAAGAAGGGUAAUCAACCUUCUAAUAUUGAGAUUUCACCUCUCUUUGGAGGAUUGUUCUAAGACAGUGGAAGAAAGAGAGAACAUGUGAAAUGUUCAUUAUGCUUCAACAAUAGGAAGUCUCAUGUAUGUUAUGUUGUGUAUGCAUCCAAAUAUCUAUUUUGCUAUAGGGUUGGUGAGUUGAUAUUAGGCGAAUCCAAGACCAAGAAAUUGGCAAAUAGUUAUGCAUAUACUCAAGUAUUUACAAAGAAUAAAGGAUUUUAUGCUUGUGUAUUAUGGAAGAGAUCUUACUCUUAUUGGAUAGACUGAUUCUGACUUCCAAACGUGUCGAGAUUUGAGGAAAUCAAUAGCAGGCUGUGUUGUUGUCCUAGGUGAUCUACUUAAUUUGAUACGUCAAACUAAACUUUCUAAUACACUUAAGGAGCUUAUCUUAAAACAAUUUAAGUGUCUUUUAUAUGGUUUUUUUUAUUUUUAUUUUUGUUUUUAAUAAUUUUUUAAUUAGUUUCAAGUCAUUUCUGACACCCAAAUUGGCCAAUUGUGGCAUGGGAAACCUAACAAGUUGAUUAAGUGAUAUAGGGAGUUGACGGUGGCCCGAACAGAAAGAAAACAUCACCUACAAUGGGGUAUCACGAUAUCAAAGCAUGGAAGUGUAAUACCCUUGAAAAAACUGAAAUGAAGAAAAUCGAGGCCGGCUACUAUGACAUCGCGGUACCAAGACAUCUCAAGACCAUCCAUUCCCAGAUUGUUAGGGGUAUCACGAUAUUCAAGUUUGGGUAUCAUAAUAUCGCUGCCUAACGGAUGAAAAAACUGGAAAGGCAAUUUUAUGUCCGACAAACUUAAGUUUAUUUUUCACUUAAUGGUAAAUUAGUCAAUGCUAGAUUACAUAGUAAUAGACUAUAAAUACAACUUUAUAAGCCUUUCAUUUCAAAUUUUAUUAUUAUCCUUACCCGUUAGUUAAAAAAUAAGUUACUUGUCCAAUUGUUAAGUGUUAGUGAAAUUGUCUUUAAAACCCGAGUCUGAAUCCCCUCCCUCGCAUAAUUUUUAUCUUUUUUUGUAUUUUUGCCCAAAAACCCUAGGUGUUGUCGUCCGAUGUUGUAACCCUAGGUACAUAUUGUAUUUUUUUCUUUUCUUUUCAGCCUCAUUUGCUCACCCUAUCUGCGUCCUACCUUCUCUCUUCCCAUCAUUUCUUCAAUAAUUCUUUUCUCUUAUCUUUUUUAUUGCCUCCCCUUGAAACCUCAUAUUUUCUCUUUCAUUGACGUCGUCCUAGUUGAUCAGCCACCACUACUAUUGCCCCUUUUGCUUCUCCUCUCCUUCUCUCAUUUUCUCUCAUUCUUUUGCUGACGAAACCACCAUUCAUUUUUGGUCAAAUCUUUUUUGGCCCUCUGCAAGUGAUGAAUCCAUUUUGUGAUUAUUUGUCAUCAAAGGUCUGAGAUCCGCGAAGUGUAAGUUGUUUAUUAGUCAAAUCUAAAUACAUAUUUCUUUUCUAUAAUGGUUGAAUCUAUCAAGAGUCCAUGGCUAAUUCUCAAAUGUGUUAUUUUUGUGUUUUUUAUUUAAGGUUCAUAUUCAAAUCACUCAGAUCAAUGUGACAUCAAACAUUAUUUGUAUCUUCGUCUUAAGCCGAAAUAGUGUAUGUGGUGAAUCCAAAAAUCAUAUAUGAAUUGCCAUUGUUUUCUCUGAUUUGGCCGAACCUUAUAAGGUGAUUAUUGGCUAAUUUCUAACAAUUUUUCCUUGUGUUAGGUACAAAUUAAACUAGAUUUAAUCAAAUCUGAAGCAUAGGAGCUGCAGACUAGUGUUAGUACUUUAGAUAUGCAUUAUUCAGGUAUGGGUCCUAACUUUGUAUGUUUGGUGAUUGUUGAAAUCAUGUUUGUACUUUAUUGGCAUUGGUCGAAUGUUCUAGGGCCUUAAAGUGUAAAUAACCAAGUGUGUAAGUGCUAUAAGUGUUAACCAAUUCUAUGCAUAUUGUUAUUGGUUGAUUAGCUAAAUGCAUGUUAUUACAUGUACUGUAUUGUUAAGCAUGUUGAUUGUUACUAUAUAAAUGGAUUGCAAAUAUAGCAUGCCAUUGAUUGAUACAUUGUUUAUUGCUUGCAUUAAAAAAAACAUGUCACUGAUUGAUAUUAUUUUUAUCGAAUUAAAUUGUUACACAUGCCAUUGUUAUUGAAAUUGUUAUUGAAAAGCAUGAUAUGCUACACUAUUGGUAUGCCAUAAUGCAUUGCAUGGGGAUUGGGAUUGAUUGAUGAUGGAGGAGGUCCGUGGAGUACCGGCAGUUUAUCCAUCAUAUUAUACUGGCAAUUGAAGUAAUGUUCGGAGUACUGACGGUUUAUCCGCAAAGUACUAGCGAUUUAUCCACAAAUUAUUGGCAGUCUAAUUGAAAAAAUUGUUAAUGGUGGUUUAUCCACAUUGAGCCACGACUCUUACUAUUUUGGUGUUCUAAUGAUGAUCUCUGGGGAACUCAUGGUGUGUAGCAGAUGGAUGGGUAGGAAAUAUACAUUGUUUUCACAUGAGCAUGCCAAUGUAUAUAUAAUGUACUUUUAUGAUGUCAUGCUCUACUAUGAUCUAAGAAAUGUUGCUGGCUGUAUGCUUUACUGUAGUUUGAAUGUCUACAUGUAUAUAUAAUGUUUACUAAGUUUAAGACUCGUGUUGAGCUUUUUACAGCUCACCCCCAUAAUUUUAUCCUUACAGAUAAUCCUUGAGGUUAGGAUCGGACACGACAUUUGGAGGUUUCAUCUCAAUUUUAUUUAAUAAAGCAAUUUAAAUUUUACUUUAUUUUGUUAUGGUUUUUGGGACUGUAAUUUUGUUAAUUUUGGGUUGUGACAUGGGUUCUUUUUAAGGUUGAAUUUCUGCAUGCAUUCAAUUCAUUAAACUGAAAAAACCUAAUAAAUUUGCUUAAUAUCAUACUAAAUAAGGUUUAAAGUAAAAACUGAUGGUUUCAAUUUUUCUGAUGCGAAACAAGGAAAGGAGUUAUGAAAAGCAUACAAAAAAACAAAAAGCAAACAAGUUUACCCAAAAAUGCCACAAGCAAACAAGUUUACCCAAAAAUGCCACAACACAUAUUAAAUUUAGAACCUUAAUAUUACCUCGACUUAAAAUCUGAUGUCUUUUAUAAAUAUAUGACAAUUAAUCUAAGUUUUCUAAAAAUCAAAAAAAUAAAUGUUACGGGAACUGAAUGACUUUAUUAGGCCAUUUCAGUCGCUAAUGUAACUUUCAAUAUCUAAUCAAAAUGUUUGGAUCGAGUUAGGGAGGAUAUCAUUGCGGUUGAAAAUUUGAAGCAAUUGGAAAAAUGCCACAACACAUAUUAAAUUUAGAACCUUAAUAUUAACUCGACUUAAAAUCUGAUGUCCUUUAUAAAUAUAUGACAAUUAAUCUAAGUUUUCUAAAAAUGAACUGAAUGACUUUAUUAGGCCAUUUCGGUCGCCAAUGUAACUUUCAAUAUCUAAUCAUAAUGUUUGGAUCGAGUUAGGGAGGAUAUCAUUGCGGUUGAAAAUUUGAAGCAAUUGGAAAAAUAAAUAUUACUAUUGACAAGAAAGUGUUAUCAAAUGUAAGAGAAUCUCUUGAAUUAUGGGCUGGUAAUGGAAGAAAGUCAAAUAUUGAAGGUGACAUGAAAGGGAUGACGUUGCUUGGUAUUGAUAACAUGGGUGUAAACGAGACAGAUGAAGUGGAAGUAAGUAACCGAGGCAAAGAAGGUGAGUGUGCAAGUCCAAUUUUAGAGAUGGAUCAGACACUAGCGUUCAGCCAUUCAAAUCAGAAUCGAGGUUACGUUGAAACAACUGAGGUGAUAGGUAAAGAUAAUAUGACUGCAGGCAAGGAAUUGGUUGAAAUUACAAAGAGGAUAUUGUAGAGGACUAUAUAGUCAAAGGAGACAACAAAGUUAAGAAAAUUGAGAAAGAAGAAACUAACGGCCUGUGUUGAACACAUUCCGACUUCAAAAACAGGAAGAACACGUUGAAGUUCGGUAAGAUUGCGGAAUUACAAGUUGGUGGAGAUGAGGAUGAAGUUUUGAGACAUUUGGCAGCAAUCAGAGUUAGCUCAGUUCAAAGAAAGUUGAAGUUUUAUUUUGUUUUUUCUUUGAUGUACCAGUCAAUACCCUCAAACUUUCUUCUCUGAACCCUUCCUAAUGUUUCCCAUGAAUCCCCGACGCUAGCAUGCAAACUAUCUUAUGUUUCUCUAAAAUAAGAUCUUCUCUCGAUUUUGGAUGCUCUUGGGAUUCAUUGCCAAAGUCUGACUAAUAGAUGAAACCAUGGUGUUUGAAACUUCUCCCCAUCUCAAGGCUCUAUACGGUUUCUGCAUCUAGGUUUUUUAAACACUAACAAUAGUAUCUUACAUGCUAAGUCUCGAAGGAAACAAAGAAUUCUUUUGGAUCAUUUAUUUCGAUUUUUCUCAUAUGUCUUGUUUCUCUUUGUCCAGAGUUCCAUUAUUUUCAUCCCAAGCUUUCACUAUGAUAAAAAAAUAUAUUAAACUGAGGUGAAAGUAAUGGAGAGCAAAUACAUAAAAAAAUAUAUAAAAUAAAUUGAAGAUGGAAAGUGACUAUCCUAUGCACAUAAAAAUAUUAAAAAUUUGAUAAGAAAUAUUAAAUAUAAAAAAUAGAAUUUAAUAACACGAAAUUAUUUGAAUUAAAUAUAUGUAAUAUUAUUGUAUCGCAUAAUUUUACAUGAUAAUAUUAUGAUUAUAACAAUAAUUAUUACAAUUGCUACUCAUGCACAGGUUUGCUUUCACUAUAAAGAACGCAUAAUAAAAGUUAAAUUUUAAACAUAUUAGAUAAAAAUAAAUAAAUAAUAAUGCAUUUUAUAAUAUUAUUUUUAAAUAAUUUUAAAUAUUAAUAUUUUAAUUAAAAAUAAAUUUGAAAAAAAAAAGUAUGCCACAAAGAAUGAAUAUAUAUACCUUCUUAUAUUGUAUUAUAUUAUUUAUGAUAUGAUAUGAUUUAUUACAAAUGUUUCAAACAACGUUAGUUACCAUUUAAUCUAUAAUUUAUAAGUGUCAAAAAAACUCCUAAAAUAUGAAAGUUAAUCUUUUGUGAAAUGUGAAAAAAUUUUAAAAAAACUAAUAUUUAAUUUACAAUUUAGCAUUUAAAUUACAUUUAUAAAUUAAUUAUUACGAUACUUAAAAUAUUAGUUUAUCUAAAAACUAUUUUACUCAGCCAAAUAUAUAAAAAAAAAGGUAUAUAAAUUAAAUCCUAGCCUUAGCUUUUUUUUGAAAAAUUUCAAAGCACGAGAUUUUCAAAGAAUAAGAAAAAGAAGAUUAAAACACCAUAAUUUUUAUAGAGCGAUUAAUAUCCAUGAAAUUUAAACAAAUUCUCACAUCCGUAGGGCAUUCUCCACCAUGAAACAUUUUAAACUAAAUAUGGCCAUUUUUAGGGUUUUAACUGAUUCAUUUUUUAAUAUAAAUACGGAACUUCAAUAUAUAUUAUUCAAGCUUGUGCUCAAGGGGCCAUAAGUGAUAAGCAAUAAGCAGCCCCACAACUUCAAAUAAGGUUUUCUUCUUUCUUGCUUUCUUUUCUUCAGGGGAAAGAAAGAGAGAAGAAGAUAAUUUUUUUGUAAAAAAGUUGUUUAAAAAUGGCGAAUAAUGCUAUUAUUGGUAUCUGUGCGGUGUUCCUGGUGGCCAUGGUGGUAGCCGUGGUCGUGGGUGUUACGCACAUAAAAAACAAGAACGAUGGUGAAGAGAUAUCGAGUUCGAACAAAGCUGUGCAAGCCCUAUGUCAACCCACAAAUUAUAAAGAGACGUGCCAGAAAAGCUUGGCGUCGUCAAAUUCUAGCGACGUUAAGGAACUGAUAAGGACAGGUUUCCAAGCCGGGCUGGUCGAGAUAAAGAACGUGUUGGCCCAUUCAGUGACGGUCCAAGAGUUGAUCAAGGAUGAGAACAACAAAGCGGCACUUGGUGUUUGCCAAGAGGUGUUGGACUUAGCCAUUGAUGACUUUCAAAAGUCAUUCGACAUGCUAGGGGAAUACGACAUGAGCAAGAUAGGAAAAUACCUUUUAGAACUAAAGACCUGGCUAAGCGGUGCAUUCACGAGUCAACAGACAUGUAUAGACUCAUUCGCGCAAUCAAGCAACGAAUCAUCGCAGAAGAUGCAAUCAAUCUUGAAGACUAGCAUGGAGAUUACUAGCAAUGCUUUAGCAAUGCUUAAUGGGUUAUCCACCAUCGUGAAGGAACUUAACAUUCCAAAUGUCGGCAACAUCGACACCACGGGGGUCAAUCGUAAGCUUUUGUCAGCUGAGGACAUGCCUGAGUGGAUUAGUCAAGCUGACCGGAAACUCCUUCAAGCAAAACCAAUGGAUUUGAAGCCUAACGUUGUAGUUGCUAAAGAUGGUAGCGGGAAAUAUGAUACUAUUAACAAGGCAUUGGCUGAAGUCCCCGUGAAAAGUCCCGAUCGAUUUGUUAUUCACAUUAAGGCUGGUACUUACAAGGAAAAAAUCAAUGUGACCAAGCAGAUGACUAAUGUUGUAUUCAUCGGUGAUGGCCCAACCAAGACCAUCAUCACAAAUGACAUUAGCGUCGCUAAGAAUCCACCGGUUAGAACAUACCGUACUGCAACUGUUGGUAAGCAGUAUUAUAUAUGUAUAUAAUUUUUGGUUGUGAGGUGAGGUGGCUAACUAGUAUAUAUGUAUGUAUGUUUGUGAAAUAUUUUAGGUGUGGAUGGGGCUAGUUUCAUGGCUAAGGACAUUGGAUUCGAUAACUCAGCAGGACCCGAAGGUCAUCAAGCAGUGGCCUUUAGGGCCACUGCUGAUAAGGUCAUCAUGUUCAACUGCCAUUUCACUGGGUACCAAGACACUCUUUACGCUCACAGAGAGAGACAAUUAUAUACCAACUGUCUCAUUACCGGAACGGUGGAUUUCAUCUUCGGGGAUGCGACGAGCAUUUUCCAGAACUGUAUGCUCAUCGUGAGGAAGCCAGGGCCUGGCCAAAAUUGCAUGGUUACUGCACAGGGAAGGAAUGAUCUUGGAACAAACUCAGCCAUUGUGCUUCAAAACUGCACCAUCUCGGGCGCCCCUGAUUACAUCCCAGUGAAGGAUACGAACAAGGCAUACUUGGGGCGUCCCUGGAAACAAUUCGCUAGGUCUAUCAUAAUGCAAUCUCAGAUCGACGACAUCAUUCAACCAGAGGGUUAUGCCCCCAUGACAGGCACCAUAGGAAUAGACACUUCUUUCAUUGCCGAGUUUGGAAACAGGGGACCCGGUGCCGAUACCAGCCGUAGGGUAGCAUGGAAAGGUAUCAAAAAGAUAGAUAUAAAUGAAGCCAACAAAUGGACUCCUCGCGUCUAUCUUGAAUCUGAGACUUGGAUCCCGAGUUCUGGCAUUCCUUAUAGUCCCGACAUGGUCCCUGGAGUCUAGACAGCUUAUUAUCGAUACCAACGCCAUUAGUAUGCUUAUUAUCAUAUCAUUGUUCUAAUUAUGUCGUUUUUUACUAAUUAAUUAAACAGAUUUUUUAAUCUUUUAUCUAUCUAUGUAUAUAUGUUAAAUUCUUUGGUUCCCCAAUUGUUGUUUCCAUUCAUUUGUUAAUGAUGCUUGCAAAAGCAAAAAAUUAAGUUAACGUUUAAAUAUUAUUGUACUUAAUUUAAUAUAAUUUUUUAAGGAUUAUUUGGAUUGAUAAUGUUGUUCCCUGAUGUAGACACCUUACUUUAAAUAGAUUUAAUAAAAUGAUUAUUAUCAAACUUAAUUACAAGAUUUAAUAAAAAAUAGUUUAUUAAGUAACAAAUACUAAUAUAAUAUCAAAAAAUUAUAAAAACAAUUAUAUUACAAAAUAAUGAACCUUAGUUUUUAUAUAUAUUUUUUAUAUAAAGACUUAAGCAAGCAUCCCACUAAUGGAAUCAAAGAUUUGAUCAAGUGGUCAAGAUUUUUGAAUUUGAGCAAAACCUAGAUGAACAUUGUGUUUAUAAACAUUUAGGGGAAGAAAAGGUGGUCUUCCUCAUUUUAUAUGUCGGGUGAAAUUCUACUAUUUGAGAAUGAUGUAGGUAUAUUGUCAUCGUUUAAACUGUGGAGAAGCUAAUUUUGUUUUGGGAAUUUGAAUCUUAAGGGAUCGAAAGAACAAAGUGAUAGCACUAUCGCAAGAUUCAUACAUAGACAAGUUAUUGGAAAGCUAUUGUAUAACUGAUUCGAAGAAGGGUAAUCAACCUCCUAAUAUCGAGAUUUCACCUCUCUUUGGAGGAUUGUCCUAAGACAUUGGAAGAAAGAGAGAACUUGAGAAAGGUUCAUUAUGCUUCAAUGAUAGGAAGACUCAAGUAUACUAUGUUGUGCAUGUAACCAGAGAUCUAUUUUACAAUAGGGUUGGUGAGUAGUCAUCAGGUGAAUCUAAGACUAAGACACUGGCAAAUAGUUAAGCAUAUACUCAAGUAUUUACGAAAAAGUAGAGAUUUAAUGGUGGUCUGAGCAUGAAGAAAACUUCACCUAUGAGAAGGGUAUCACGGUAGGAAAGUAUGGAAGUCGUGAUACCCCUUAUAGUGCUGAAAUGAAGAGAAUCGAGGCUAGCUAUGAUGACAUCGCUAUACUGUGUGAUGGGUAUCGCAGUAGCGAGACAUCCCAAAACCACCCAUUUCAAGACUGUUGGAGGUAUCGCGAUAUUCAAGCCUGGGUUUCUGACCGCCUAUGGACAAACUAAUGUCCAGAGUGUGAAUACUGUAAUAAAAUAUAGAAAGAAAAGGUGAUAUCCGCAAGUAUAUCGGUCGACUGGUAAUAUAGUUUUACAACAAAGUGGGUGAGUACUCUGAGGAUUGUACCCAAGGGAGGCGAGUGCUAGAUCAAUUCUAACCAAAACACUGAAAGAUCUAAUAAGUACUUUUAAUAGUAAGUACUUUUAAUUGAGUUAUAGUACAAAAAAUAUAAUAUAAAGGAUUUUUUGGGGUUUUUGUAGUAAUAGUAAUAAAAAAUAUAUAAUAUAAAAAUAUAAAAGUAUAGAGAUUGAAGAGGAAGAAUAAAUCAAAUCUAAUUAUGGGUGAUUAGCUCUCUUCGACGAUCCUAAUCAACUGUCGUCUCGAGUUUCUGGUCAACCAAUUAGUCACUACCCUAGCAGGAUCUUUUGAUCUUCCACUAACAUAAUAAGUCAGCAAGAACUACUUAACUUCCGACCUCACACUCUAGACUGGCUUGGUUUAAAGAUGUUCACAGAUGGGCAAUACCAAUUUUGGGUUAAUUCCCACCUUGAUGACUUCUAGGGGUUGUCAAGCCUAGGGUUUGUUUCACACUCUUCUUUUCCCAAAUAGUUAAUAUACUAAUUAACCCUACAAAACAGUUAAGAGGUCAUUCCUCCACUUGCUAAUCCCCCAUAAAAAGAUUAGUUCCUCAUGGCUUUCAUAAACAACAUGGAAUAGAUGGGAGAAUUAAUCAUGGUGAAUGAAUUGAAGUAAAAGGUUUAAGAAAAACCUUAUUUAUAUAAAAAAUAACAUGAAUCCAUAGAAGUUGGUCGUCUUCACAAAUCAAAGCUCUUAAAGGAAAACAAAGAGCAAAUAAACUAAAAUCUAAAAACCUAAUAAAUUAGGAAAACAAAACUAAAUCUAAAGAACAAAUCUAAACGAAUGGAAUGGUGUCCAUAACAAGUGAUAAAUGAGUCUAUUUAUAGCCUUUAGGUGGUUGUCGUCCUUAACCAUAGGCUAGCUGACGUUCCCGAGCACUAAAGUUUGAUUUUGCAGACCAAAAUGCCCCUGCUUCGAGUUUUAUUUCCGUCACAGAAUCGAUGUUGUCACACCUAGGACUUGUGUCGCGACACAGUAACCAGCAUACUCCUCUGCGCUUAUCUUCAAGGGUAUGUCACAACAUCCUAAGUCUGUUUCGCGGCAUCAAAGGCAAUCUCGUACUUUGUCCAUUUUGUUUUCUAUAUUGCGACAUUGGAGCUUUCGUGUUGUGACAUAACGUCUAGUAUCGGUCUAAAAUAUCUUCUAAUGGUCUCUUGCACACUCACAAAGUAUAUUAGCUCUCCCUUAGGCCUCAUUUGGCCCCUAAGGUCCAUAAAAGACUCAAUUUGCAUAUUUUAUUGAAUGUAAAUAAAAUUAAGAAAACUUAACGAAAAUAUUUGUAUUCAAGCUCUUUAAAUGCAAAAACUAGUUUAAUUUGGUACACCAAAUUACGGCAAAUCAGUAUCACAAUACCACUACCUAACGGAUGAAAAAACUAGAAAGGUAAUUUUAUGUCUAAUAACCACCUCCGGACGUAUGAACGCGCAGAGUGUGAAUACUGCAGCAAAGGCUUAGUACUAGAUCAAUUUCAACCUAAACAUCAAAAGAUCUAAUUAGUACUUGAAAUAAGUUAUAUUAUGCAAAUAUAAAUAAAAGGGAUUUUUAAGAUUUCUAUAAUAAUAAAAAUGUAACAAAUAAAUAAGUUUCAAGAAAUUGAAAAGUGAAAUUAAUCAAAACUGAUUAUGGGUGAUUAGUUUGCUUCGAUAAUCUUCAUCAACUAUCGCUUCGGGUUCCUCGUCAAUCAACUAAUCAAUAUCCUAGCAAGAUCUUCUGAUACGUUUACUAAAAUAACGAGUUAGCAAGGAUGUAACACCCCCUACCCGUAUCUGUCACCAGAACAAGGUACGAGGUAUUACCGGAGUUAAAAAUUUAUUUAUCAGACAUUUUAUUUCAUCUGGAAUUCAUAUUUGGGAUCAAUCAAAAUCAAACAUAUUUCCCCUUAAACAUACUUAUUUUCCUUGUAUCAACGUAUCAAAGAUAAUCACAUAUUUACAUGUCAUGAUAAAUAUCAUUCUCUUACCGUUUCUUCAUAAACAUAAAUCAGUUAAUUCAUUAUAUCAAUAUUUCAUGUACCAUCAACUCAUAUUUCCUUAUAUCACAUAAUUAGGUUUCACGAACUUAUCUGGCUAAAUUGCAAAAAUACCAAGAUUCAAGAGCAUUUCGGUAAUUUUUUAUUUUCCUCGAUUUUUCAACCAACCUUGAUUUAAAUUAAUAAUUUCAUUCCAUUUAUUAAUUUAGACAAUAAAAUAAUUCAUUUCGGUCAAUUUGGUCAUUUUUGAUAUUUUUACAAAAUUACCCCUAAAGUUUUACUUUUAUUCAAUUUAGUCCCCGAGCCUAAAACAUGAAAAUUAACCACUUUAAUGUAACUCAUGCUAACUAAACAUUCAUAUAUAUUUUCCUUCUCCUCGUCUCCAUUCCAUAUCCUUAAUGUAUAUAUAAUUCCACAAUUUUCUCAUAUGUUCAUAUCAUGCUGUCCACUUGAGUCAUAGUCACUAAAUUAUUUAUAUCUUGAGCUAAAGAAUUAUAAAUUAAGAAAAUCUUGGUGUUUUUGAAACUAGAAUAAAAUAUCUUUCUACCAUAAAAAUUUCAGAAUUCAUAAUUUAUCCAAUAAGUACAGUAAAAUCAUCAAACUUACCCCUAUUCUACUGUUUAACAGCUUUGUCCUUUCCUUACUAAAAGUUAAUUAUCUUUUAGUACAAAAUUUGGAUGAUGUUUCUGUUUGUUUCUAUUAAGAAUAGACUCAUUAUGGAUUUAAACAUAUAAAUUUAACCCCUAAUUAUUUUUAUCCAAUUUUUUAUGAUUUCCCAAAUUCAAAAUAGAGGAACCCGAAAUUAUUCUGACCUUGUCUGAUAAAAUUUAUUAUAUCUCACAAUUUACAAUUCCAUUGCUUACACCAUUUCUUCUAUGAAAAACUAGUCUCAAUAAAAUUUAAGUUAAUAUUUUAUUCAACCUCUAAUUCGUUUUCCACAAUUUUUGGUAAUUUUUCAAAGUUUAACUACUGCUGCUGUCCAAAACUAUUUUAGUGCAACAUAUUGAUUACCAAGUUUAUAACACCCUUAUUUCCAUUCUCUACAAUAUUUCCCAUCAUUUUCUCUUAUUUCCCUUCACUAGUAUAUCAAGAACAUAGAACCUUAUAUAAGAAAACUCUACCUUAACAUCAUUUUCAAGCUUUUGAUAUUACCUUACAUGAGAAACUCUACUUAAAAUAUAUUGAAGUCUUAAAGUUCUUACCUUGUCCUAUUGAUUUCAAUCUUUAACUUGAUUUUUCUCUCUCCUCCAGCUUCUAUUUCUUGAAUCCAACUUGAUAUUCUAACUCCCCUUAAUCUCCUUAACAAUUUUCUCUCUUGGUAGCUAUGGAAAUUCUUUUGAUUUCAAGGUGAAAAUGGUAAUUUUUUUGUGGAAUGACUAAAUUGUAAAGAAAGCAAAACUUUCUUUCUUCUCUUCUCUUCUAACUGAAAUGCAUGGAAAGAUUAUAGAUGGUAUAUGUGUGUGUAUGUGUGUUUUCUUUCCACACACACACAUACAUAUAUACUAAAUAAAAUAAUAAAAUAAUCAUAAAUAUCUUAUUAAAAUAUCAAUAAAAUAAUAUUUAUCUAAUUAAUUAAUUUAAAAUAUUAUCAACAUAAUCAUUACAUUCUAGAAUUCUCUCUCUUACUAAUUGAUCAUUUUGCCCUUUAUAAUCUUUUAAUAUUUCAUCAUUGAGUCAUAGCUUAAUUUGGGAAAAUUACGAUUUAGUCUCUCAUAAUUCUUCACCUAUUCAAUUUGGUCCUAAUUCAUCCAUUUUCCUUAGUUUUUAGAUUAUCCCACUCCUAAAAUAUUUACACUAUUGGUUCUUUAACUUUUUCAUAUUACAUUUUAACCCCUCAAAUUUUAAGUAUUUACUCUUGGACAACAAAAAUUUUCUCACUUUUACAAUUUAGUCCUUUCUUGAAUUAAUAAUGUAAUAUAUCAUAAUAUACUUCCCAAUGUUGACAUAAUAAAAUUUAUCUUUUUGUCACUUUAUUUCCUUACUUAACUAUAUCAAGGAUAAUAUCUUACUUUCUUGUUGUAGUAAUUUUCGGGGUAUUACAAAGGACUACUUAUCUUUCAACCUCACAGUCUAGACUAGCUUGAGGUAAAGGUGUUCACAGAUAGGUCAAACCAAUUUUAGGUUAAUUCUCACCUUGAUGACUUCCUAGGGUUGACAAGCCUAAUGUUUAGGUUCUUCCUUUCCCAAACAGCUAAUCCGUUGAAUAGCCCUACAAAACAGUUCAUAGAUCAUACAUCCAUUAGCUAAUCCCCCAUAGAAGAUUUAGCUCCUCGUGGUUUUCAUAAACAAUAGAGAAUUGAUAUAAAGUAUAAACAUGACAAUUGAAUUGAAUGUAUAUACUUUAAGAAAAAUUAUUAUUUGUAUUAUGAAUUAAAGUGAAUCCACAAGGUUUGAUCGUAUCCAGAAAUCAGAUCUCUCAAAAUAAAACAAAGAAUAAUCUAAAAAUAAAUCUAAAACCUAAUAAAAGAGAAAAACUAAACUGAAAUUAAAAGAGAGAUCCUAAGCUAAGUAAUUGUUGUCCAUAACAUAAGCCAAAUGAGCUUAUUUAUAGAUUUGAGGUGGUUGUCAUCCUUAACCUUAGGUUAGUUGACGUUUUUGAGCUUUAAGUUGUAUUUUUCAGACCAAAAUGCCUUUUGGCUCGUAUUAAUUCCCAUCCAGAGUCUAUGUUGUGACACAUCCUAACUGUGUCGAGACAAAGAAUUCAUUAUACUUUUCUUUGGGAUGUCUUUAGAGGUAUGUCGUGACACCCUUAGGCUGUGUCGUGACGUCAAAGGUAGUCUCGAAAUUUGUCCAGUCUUCUCCCUAUAUUGCGACAUCAAAACCUCCAUGUUGCGACAUAGUGACCAGUAUCGAUUUAACACACCUUCUCAUGGUCUCUUACACACUUACAAAGUUCGUUAACUUACCCUUAGCCCUCAUUCGGCCCCUAAAGUCAAUAAAAGACUCAAUUUGCACAUUUUAUUGCAUUUAAUUAAACUUACCAAAACAUAAUUGAAACCUAAUGAUAAUAUUUAUUUUCAAGCUCUUAAAGUGAAAAAAUUAGUUUAAUUUGCUACACCGAGUUAUGACAGAUCAAACUCCCCCACAUUUAAGUCAUUGUUUGUCCUCAAGCAACACAAACAAAAAUAAAAAAUAGAAAAGACGAUCCUUGCGCCAAUAUGAUACAAGCAUUGACUUUGAAGCACAUAACUAGGCAUUUCCUCUUUAUGAAUAAUUUUGACAUGAUGAGUAAUUGAUUUACCACUUUUGGUUUCAAACAUCUAAGUUUAGUGCAUUACAUAAUAUACAAGCAUUAAAGGUCUCACCUGUAGGAAUCCAUCAACAAAUCAUACAAGUAAUUUGAUUAUCCUCGCAGAAUACAAAUAGCAGCUUAUGCGAUUGUUUAGUAUAACGUUCAUUUAUGCAUAAAGAUACCUAGCUCACAUAGGACUUUUCAGCUUGUAACAUUCUGAGGCUUAGAACUGAUAUGGAAUUUAAAAAUAGUAAGUAUCAAAAUGGAAAAUAGUUUGGCACAUCAUAUUGAUCUUUAUUCUUUCCCUUUAUCAACCCUUACCCACUCACCGCCUUCUUUCUCCUUCUCUCACCUUCCUUAUCUCUCCAUAUAAGAAAUCACAGCAUAAUAUAGUAACUAUGACUAGCUUACCAGUUUUCGUGCACUAAUGAACCAGUUUUUCUAUUCUCAUGACUUUGCCAUUUUCUUUUUUCAAUACAUCUCACUCACAAAUGCUUUUGUUUUUCAAGUACUUUUUUCUACUCGUAUUGAUUUUAUUUUUGAAUUUUUCUUCUGUUCUACACUUUAGGCUAGCCUAUAGUUACUAUAUCACACUAAUCUUUCCUAUUUCACUUUAUUUUUACGAAAUCCGUCAUGAUGUAUCUACUUAACCCUCAAUACGUAUAGUCAUCCGGCUAUAGUCAUGCAGUUCAGGACCAAAGAAAGAGGGCAAAUACAAAUUAACAUUUUAGGGUGUGUAAAUAUAGCAUGCGAAUGUGCAAGUGUACACGUCGAAUCAAAUAAUAAAGUAGUAAGUAAAACCAUCUCCACAGGGAUCGAAUAGGAUUAAUUUGAUUAAGUUAUUACUAUAAACUAUAUAAAUCAGGUUAUGGCAAAAAAGAAUAACAAUUUGUAGAGGAAUAAUCACGUAUGCAAUAUUAAAAUCAAAUAACUAACAUAAAAUGUUGUAGCAAAUGUACGGAGACAAAUCUGAGAAGAUAUACGUUGUUGAAUGGGAAGGUUGGGAUUAGUAAGAUUCAUUCCUUAUAACAUAAUAAUGCCAUAAAAAAAUCUUAACCAAUCUAUUAUUCAGAUUAAAUCUUGUAGACACUCAAUUUUGCCCGGCCCAUUUCAGUAUUUAAAAUAAUAAACCCCAAAAAAAACGAAGUCCAAGUUCAGUCCAGAAUUACAAAUAUAAUUUGGCCCGAUCGGAAUGGCCCAUUACUUGAAAAGAUUUAAGGUCCAUCUACAAGCUUGACUCAUAUGGAAAUAUAAUCUUCAAUGAUAUGUAAUCUUAGAUAUGAUACAAUCUUAAAUAUGAUUGCAAUCUUAGAUAUGAUACAAUCUUAGAUAUGAUUGCAAUCUUAGAUAUGAUACAAUCUUAGAUAUGAUUGCAAUCUUAGAUAUGAUAUACAAUCUUAGAAGAUAUGAUUUGUAAUCUUGGAGAUUUAAUUUGUAGAUAUCCUUUAAUCUUAACCGUUGAUGUAAUUGAUCUGUACCGUUGGAUUUGGGGAGGCUCAACUAUAAAUAGAGGCCUCUCCCUUCAUUGUAAAGGACGGGAGUUUUGGAAGCAAUAAGAAUUCUUGAGAGCAUUCACUCAAAUGUCUCUCCCUCUUACGUUCUUACUCUCUCUGGUUUGUUCUUAUUUUAUUCUUCGUCUAUCUUAGUUUUUCAACUUUUUUUAAUUUCACCCUUUUUAUAUGACUUUUAAACUUAUUUUAAUUGAUUAUUGAUAUUAUUUAUUAUAUUAGUUAUAUUUCAAAUUUGUAAAUUAUUGUUAUAGAUUAUAUUUAACUUAUAUAGUCUUAUAUAUUUAUUUAUUUAUAUUAUACAUUAUUUUAAAAACUUACAUUUUUAUAUUAUAUAUUAUAAAUUAUUUCAUUUAUUAUUAUUUUUAUAUACUAUCAUAUAUUAUCUAUUUUAAAAUUCACUAUUAAAUAUUAUAUUUUUAUGUAUUAUUAAAUGUUUAUAUUAUUUGAUAUAAUACAAUAUCAUAUUUUUUAUUAUUUUAUCUUAAAAUUAAAGUUUAUCUAUAAUAUAUUAUUAUCACCCAUUUCUAAAUUGUAUUUUAAUUAUAUACACAUAUAUCCAAAUUACUCACUUUAUUUUAUUAAACCUUUUUAUAUUUUUUUAUAUUAUAAAUUGUCCAUGUAUUAAAUGCUAUUUUCAUGAUUUUAUAAAGUGUUGAUUGCUUGAUAACAUAUGUUACUAUAUUAUUAUUAUUAUUAUUUUUAUAUAUUAUUGUAUUUGUUUGUCUUGUUUUGUUUUUAUACAAUCAUACAUCAUGCAUCAUUUUCUCUUUUAUUAAUAUGUUUAAAUAUAUGUUGAAUUACAUGUUUAUAUGUUUUAUCUAUUCUUCUUUAAUAUAUGUUGUUUUUUUUGUAUGUAUAUUUUACUUAUUUAAAAUUUGCCAUAUUUUAUAUUUCUUAUAUAUAUAUAUAUAUAUUAAUUAAUGUAUGACAUUUAUGUUAUUGUUAUUAUGCUUUUAUUUACCUAUUUCUAUAAUAUGUUAUCUUGUAUGUUAUGUUUUAUUAUGUUAAUGUGCUCCUUCAUGCAUCAGUUUUAAAAACGAGACUUCAAAGUUUUCAAAAAUAAAAAGGCAAUGCUAGGUGUUUGGAAGCUUCGAAAAAGUAGUGCCCUAACUUAUUGGGUUGCAACUUUUCUCGUUGAGUUCGAAUAGUCAAGUACCCUUCUAAUUUUUUUUAAGGUUUUCAAAAUACGAGCAACUGUCUUGGAAUUUCAAAGCGUUGUGUCCUAACUUAUUGGAUGUGGCAUUUUGUCAUUUUGAGAUAGGGAUUUCAAAAAGGGGGGCUAACUUAGUGUCAAUAUUUUGAUACAAAUGAAUCUCAAUUUUGCAAAAUCAAAAUAUUCUAAAGAGGAUUGCAUCUUAAAAUUUUUGAAUUUCCGACAUUAAAGACACUUGAUAAUCAAUUAGGUACCAAUUUUUGGGCGUUACGAGGGUGCUAACCCUUCCUCGUACGUAACCGGCUCCCAAACCCAUUUUCUGAUUUCGUAGACCAAAACUAAUGAUUUUAAAACAAAACAUUUUAUAAGGUGAUCCAAUCACACCUAAAAAGAUUGGUAGCGACUCCCGUUUUCAUUUUUCUUAAAGUCGAUUCCCAUUUUCCAAAACUCGAUUUGAAAAUGGUUUCGACAGCUUGGCGACUCCACUGGGGACUAAUAAGAGAGUCAAGCCGUGUAAUUGAUUAUCUCUUAUCUUAAUGUCGAAAAUUAAAAAUUUUAAAAUUUAAUCUUCUUUGCAUUACAUGUGUUUGUGUUAUUGCAUGUGUUGCUAUAUUCUAAUACGCAUUGCAUUUGCAUGACCGUUGUGGUCACACCCUUAAGUGGGAGUGAGAAGCUACGCCUUCAUGAGGUUUUCGCCUCCGUGCAGGAUAGUGGAUCACUUUCGGGAUACAUCCGUACCUAUGGUUUCGUGCGAUUUUCCUCUCCGUGUAGCCAUAGGGAAAUGUGUCCCCCUGAACUGAACUCGAUUCAAAUGAGCCUAUAAUGGGUGAGGAUCGAGGAAUCUGCUGGUUCAGGUACCUCAACUUUAGAACUAAACCACAUAUAGAAGGACCGUAAGAGCUCAACCUAGAUAGAAUUAUACCGUAAUUAUUACCCUUGCAGGUUAUCCUUGAGUUUAUUGUUGUCAUGUGAUACUAACUAUCUCCUUUCUUUUGUUGCAUAUCAUUUCGCAUUUAAAAGGUAUCGAUUUUCGGUCUUUUCGGUCAGUUUCUAAGUUAGAGAGUUUUAUUAUGGAGAACAGACUUCUUGAUAGAGUGGAAGACAACGCUAACUUCCAUAUAUGGUCAGAGCAAACUCAGUUAGUAAAGGAAAAUAGUCUAGCCAUGGGAUAUGUGUCAGAGCUGUCAGACUGCAUCCGUAUCACACAGGAUAAUCAUCAUGAGUUAAAGGAAAUAUGGUAUCAAUGGGGUAGCGAAGCCAAGCAGCUGUUCUACAACAACCAUAGGGACUUGCAGUACUUGCUUGACUUGGGAAUAGACGAGAAUUUGUUUCGGGCCAUCACUCAGUAGUGGAAUCUUGUAUACAGUUGCUUUACGUUUGGAAAAGCCUAUAUGGUACCCGUGGUGGAGGAAUAUUCAAUUUUGUGGCAUUGUCCUAUGACUCAAGUUGAUAAAGUUUACUCAAGGGCUAACUGUAUUCCAACUUUUGUGAGGAAGUUGAUGAAUGUCAUAGGGAGAGGGAGUGAGCUAAAAUGGAAAGAGUAGGAGGGAAAAGGGGCAGUCUUGGAAUUCCUGCCUCUUCCGCCACUAGUGCGUCUUAAUGUUGUUUCCAAUCAAAGCAGAAUUGGAUACGAAGAAGAUUGUUCGACACUCUAUGGCAAGGCGUGCUGCAGGGAAAAAGGUAAUGUACUCACCAAUCAUUUUAAGGUGAACAAGAAGAGUAUUGAUGGACAUUUCCACCAUUACAACAUUUCUCUUUCAUAGGAAAAUGGUCGAUGGUAAGAGUGUUGGAAGAAAAGUGAUUGACAGAAUGCAUGGACCUACAAAGGUGAGUUGGAUGGAAAGAAAUGAUGGUAAAAGGCUUAUUUAUUAUAGGACCAAACAACAAGCAUGAGUUCACUAUGUUGCACUUAUCAGAGAUAAUAGAAAUGCAAGCCCUGAUGAUCUGUCAAAAUGGACGCAAAAGAAUGAGAUUAAAGAAGUCCAUAUCAUUUAAAAGACCUUUAAAGUAGAGAUCAACUAUACUGAGAAGAUACCCAUCUAAGCAUUUCAAAAUGCUUUGCGUGGACAGGAAUCUGAAAGCUCUCAAGAAACCCUAAAGGUGUUGGAUAUCAUUUUAAGGCAGCAUGUUAAGCAGGAAUGCUCACUUGUUUUCCAAUCUUUCUUUCAAGAUAAUCAGAAGAACUUCACAGACAUUGGAAGAGGUGUCCAUAGAUGUAAGGAUUAUCUUAUGGGUGAAGCCAUAGCUCAAAUUCGGGAUGGUAGUAGAUCAUUUACGGACCAUGAAGGUACAAGCUGAUACAUUGAGCACAGUCAGAUCAUUGUCAAGAGUUAGCUUUGUUGAGUUAAAACUUUGGGCCAUAGGACGAAGGCGUAUUUGUAAUCCAUUCAUAUGUAAAGAUAUUCUUUUUCUAAAUAAAGUUUUCUAAAUGAAAUUAAGUCGAGAUCGAUACCUUUUUACAUUCAUGCAUUUGUAUUACAUCACAUCGCAUUAUAUGCAUUUAAAUUAUAAAAAGACCAUAAUUAGUUAAAGUUAUUAAAAAAGAAGGAAAAAGAGAGAGAGAGAGAGAGAGAGAGAGAAGAGGGUCACGGCUAAGUGAAAAAGAGACGUUCCCUUACAUAUCCCUGACUUUUGUGUCAAGAGGGAUAGUUUACCCGGAGAAAGGGGUGUUUGGAAAUGAAAAUAAUCCCAUCAAUGUCAUACAUGAGGAAAGGACUGAACAAAGAAACCUUGAGGGCAUUCACCCUUACGAACCGGGAAGUUCUUUAAAUAAUUGGACUGCAGAAGAACUUCCUGUAAUCUUUAGGAAUUUUACGGAGUAAUAUUCAGAACACACUUGUUGCUCUAAAGCCUAGGAGUAAUGAGAUUUCUUUUGAGAAGUGGACUCAUGUUCAGACAUUUUUAUUUUCAAUAAAACAUACUUUUAUUAUUUAUCCGAGUAAAUAUUCUUUCAUUCUGAUUCUUUUGACCUUUGACAUUCUUUAUAAAUUUUCAUUUCAUGUAAAUAGUCAUUUUUGAAUUCAUUUAUUCCUUUUAUAUUCUUUUGUGUGCCUAUCAUAGAUCCCUAGAUAUCAAUGACACGGGCAACGAUACUAUAGAUUCAGAGUUCCUUUUGAGUGCGAUAUGUGUUUAGAGGAAUCUCAGUACUUUGAAGGUGACAGAAAUUGUGACUUGUUUCUGAAUUUGUUGAAAAUGGUUUUUACCCCAUGAAGUGGUGGUAGGAAAUAUAGCCUUAGAGGAAGGAAAGAUUGCGAAAUUGGAAUUAGCUGAGGAGACAAAACAAGACCUUGUUGAGACUAUUAUGGGAAUUCAAAAAUAUGGUCCAAAGACGCAUGCAGGAGGAUUUGCAAUUGCCAGGAUAAACAUGAGGUUUUGGGGCACUGUUGGUCCACCAUGGAAAGGGAUCGCAUCAGUUGUACAAUGAAUGCCAAAUUUAAAGGAGUAAAGACUUAUGGGGCAUGUAUGUUAUGGGCCCGAGCUCAUCAAAAGUUUCAAGCUGACAAUGACUCAUCUUUGUAGACGUCAACUACUCCAUUAAGAGGGGGAGAUAGCUUCAUAUGCCAAUAUUACAAAGUCAAAAGUCAUCUAUCUCAAAAAAAAGAAAAAGAAAAAAGAUUAUAUAUAACUGCACAAUGCCAAAAGUUUGUAGUCUUUUCAAAGAUAAUGCGCCAUACCACAGUACAACAAAGGUUGCCAAAAGAAAAGAAAAAGAAGAAAAAAACAAAUUACAAAAGAUGACCGAGACUGGUAAAAAUUGGCAUAAGAAACUAGCGCCUACUCUCUAUGCUUACACUGGGGCAAACACCUUCAAUUCCAGUUGUUUCAAAGGUUCCAACCAUCAUCCUUGGAAUGGGUGCAUUGUUUGGCUUUCCUGAGCAGUCUGAUGUGCCGUCAAUAGCUGCGAUGGUUAGCUCCAGGCGAUGGCCAUUGAUUUUCAGCUAUGGGGCAUCAGGCCGUGCACAGUCUCUGAAGCUUAAAAUGAUAGAUUCUUUCUUCAAAACCAGUUUCUGACAAAGUUGAUGAUGGUAUCAUGAAGGAAGCUCUCUUAGACUUCUAUACAAGUUCAGAGAAGAGAAAACCUGAUCAAAUCAUUAUUUUCAGGGAGAGGGUUAGCGAGUCUCAAUUCAAUCAAGUUUUGAUCAAGUUAUUGAGGCUUGCAAGUUCCUUGGCGAGAAGUGGAACCCUAAAGAUUGUGGUUAUUAUUGUACGAAAAACCAUCAUACCAAGUUUUUUUUUAGUAGGGAUCUCCUGACAAUGUGCUACAUGGUACUGUCAUUGACAACAAAGUAUGCCAUCCAAAGAACAAUGAUUUUUACCUUGGUACCCAUGCUGGAAUGAUUGGAAUCACAAGGCAGACCCACUAUCAUGUUCUCUCAGACCAGGCUGGGUUUUCGGCUGAUGAUCUGCAAGAGUUUGUUCAUUCUCUAUCCUACAUGUAUCAAAUGAGCACUACAGCCAUAUUUGUUGUGCCUCCUAUUUGCUACGCUCAUUUGGCAGCUUCACAGUUGGGGGCAAUUUAUGAAGAUUAGGGAUGCUUUAGAAACAUCAUCAAGUCAUGGUGAGAUGUAUGCUCCAGGAGUAAUCUCUGUACCUCAGCUUUCCAGGUUGAAGGAUAAAGUCAGCAAUUUCAUUCUUGUCUGCUGAGAAUCAUUGAACCAUCUUUUUGUAGGGUUUGACAAACAACAGCCAGGACGGCUGCUGGGGUAAUCCCUUUCUCAUAGGUUUAUGAAUCAAGAUUUUUCCUCCAAGCUUUGAUGGAGUCAAGAAUUGAAUACCUCUAGUAAACUUAACUUGAAAGUAUUCAUCCUAAGCAAAUGUACCAAGAAUGGAUGACACAGACUUAUGACAAAGAAGGUUCGUCCAAAAGAAUCUCAUAAAGGAAACCUUGCAAAAGGAUGCCGAAUUGUUAAGGGCCAUAUGUUACGAAGAGGGCUUUCUCUAGAGGUGCAUUGAUUUUGACAAGAAAUGGAUAGGAAGAAUUUAUCUGAUCCAGUGAAUUCGGACUCAGUCAAAGAGUACUUUGUCUGAAGGGGAAGGGAAGCCAAGGUGAAAACCCGCAAAGGGCACUUUGGGACUUCUAUUUCAAAAAAAAAAAGAGAAAAAAUAAAGAAAAUAAAAAGAGAAAAAAUAAAGAGAAAAAAGAAAAAAUGGAGAGGCCAAGGUGAAAACCCGCAAAGGGCCCCUUAAGACCAAAGGGGUUUUGAGUUGAAAACCCAAAAGGGCGGCUCAAAUUUGGAAAGUCAUGCAGUGACCUUGCUAUACCGGAUUCGACGAGAAGUGAAGUAUGUUACAUAUCGAGGCAUCAACGAAUUACUUUGGAUCUUUUAAACACAUGUUGAACUCAAGAAAGUCUUCAUGGAGCUCAAGCGGCGAUAUCUGGGGCAUCUGAUUUUUUGUCCUGUUUACUAUCUUUGGAUUCUCUUUCUUCUCAAAGAUAGAUUCCUAGAUUAACCUCCUUUGUCUUUUUGAUAAAUCAUUAUCCUCAAGAUCAAUUUAUUCGUCCCAUUAUUCAUAAAGUGUGUUGCAUAGAAAUAAUGAUUGAUGAACUAAAUAUAUUUACAAACGAAGUUUUGCAUAUUACUCUGGAAAUUUCUAGAUAAUACAAGAAACUGAAACAAGACAAUUGUUUAAAGAAUUUCCAUAUUUGAGGGUCGGAUGUACUCGGGGAAAUUUCUUCUUCAGUCCAAAAGGUGGUUGGACAUUUUAAAUUGAUCUUAAGAAAGGAUCAUUUCAUAAACAUCUCCAGCGGGUCACAACAUUUAGAGAAUGGCACAAUAGGACUAAGGUGAUUCAAAGCAUACAAGCAGAGUAUAAUUGAUACAUCAAGAAGUAUAAAGUUAAAACUUCGAUGAGGGAAUGAGUGAUGACGCCCGAAAUAAGGGUCAUAUUCAUAACAUUUUGCAUUAUAACAUGUCUAAUUAGGAGAAUUUGACUCACUACAAUCAUAGGCAUGAAAUCAUACGCAUUCUACAGGUUAUGUCUUUUAUGGGACAAUGUAGAUCAAAGAAACAAGAUUUGGCAUCCCUAUGUUUAUAGGGAACAGAUCGAAGAUAGUAGAUCUGACAUUCCUGUGCUUACAGCGAAGCAGAUUGAAGAUUUCAACAUGGCAUCCCUGUGUUUAUAGGGAACAAGUUGAAGAUAGCAGAUUUGGCAUCCUUGUGUUUAUAGGGAACAGAUCAAAGAUAGCAGAUCUAACCUUCAGAUGUUUAUACUAAAGCAGAUCCAAGAUGAUUUGGCAUUCUUGUGUUUACAAGGAACAAAUCGAGGACAUAGCAUAUUUGACUCUCAGACGUUCUCAAAGAUAGCAGAUCUAACCUUCAGAUGUUUAUACUGAAGCAGAUCCAAGAUGAUUUGGCAUUCUUGUGUUUACAAGGAACAAAUCGAGGACAUAGCAGAUUUGACUCUCAGACAUUCUCAAAUAUAGCAAAUCUAACCUUCAGAUGUUUAUACUGAAACAGAUCCAAGAUGAUUUGGUAUUCUUGUGUUUACAAGGAACAAAUCGAGGACAUAGCAGAUUUGACUCUCAGACGUUCUCAAAUAUAGCAGAUCUAACCUUCAGAUGUUUAUACUGAAGCAGAUCCAAGAUGGUUUGGCAUUCUUGUGCUUACAAGGAACAAAUCGAGGACAUUACAGAUAUGACUCUCAAAUGUUCUCAAAUAGACUCAAGAUGGUUUGGCAUCCUUAUGCUUACAAGGAACAAAUCGAGGACCUUGCAGACAUGACUCUCAAAUGUUCUCAAACAAACUCAACAAGUCGAGGACCUUGCAGAUAUGAUUCUCAAAUGUUCUCAAACAGACUCGGGAUGAUUUGACAUCCUUACAAAUUGAAGAAGCAGACUCAGUGUCUCUGUGUUCGGCAGAAAACAGAUCAAAGAUAUCAACAUAGCAUUCUUGAGGUCGUAGGGAGAAGGUAGAAGACCAUUCGAGGAAAAGAUCGCAAAGAUUGGGCUAGGCCGGGCAAAUUUGGUCCUUUAUGGUCUUUGCUCAAUUCCUAUUACAUAGCAAUGAGCACAGAGGGGCAACUGUAGACACUCAAUUUUGCCCGGCCCAUUUCAGUAUUUAAAAUAAUAAACCCCAAAAAAAAACGAAGUCCAAGUUCAGUCCAGAAUUACAAAUAUAAUUUGGCCCGAUCGGAAUGGCCCAUUACUUGAAAAGAUUUAAGGUCCAUCUACAAGCUUGACUCAUAUGGAAAUAUAAUCUUCAAUGAUAUGUAAUCUUAGAUAUGAUACAAUCUUAAAUAUGAUUGCAAUCUUAGAUAUGAUACAAUAUUAGAUAUGAUUGCAAUCUUAGAUAUGAUACAAUCUUAGAUAUGAUUGCAAUCUUAGAUAUGAUAUACAAUCUUAGAAGAUAUGAUUUUGUAAUCUUGGAGAUUUAAUUUGUAGAUAUCCUUUAAUCUUAACCGUUGAUGUAAUUGAUCUGUACCGUUGGAUUUGGGGAGGCUCAACUAUAAAUAGAGGCCUCUCCCUUCAUUGUAAAGGACGGGAGUUUUUGGAAGCAAUAAGAAUUCUUGAGAGCAUUCACUCAAAUUUCUCUCCCUCUUACGUUCUUACUCUCUCUGGUUUGUUCUUAUUUUAUUCUUCGUCUAUCUUAGUUUUUCAACUUUUUUUAAUUUCACCCCUUUUUUAUAUACUUUUAAACUUAUUUUUAAUUUAUUAUUUAUAUUAUUUAUUAUAUUAUUUAUAUUUUCAAAAUUUGUAAAUUAUUAUUAUAUAUUAUAUUUUAACUUAUAUAUCUUAUAUAUUUAUUUAUUUAUAUUAUACAUUAUUUUAAAAACUUACAUUUUUAUAUUAUAUAUUAUAAAUUAUUUCAUUUGUUAUUAUUUUUAUAUACUAUCAUAUAUUAUCUAUUUUAAAAUUCACUAUUAAAUAUUAUAUUUUUAUGUAUUAUUAAAUGUUUAUAUUAUUUGAUAUAAUACAAUAUCAUAUUUUUUAUUAUUUUAUCUUAAAAUUAAAGUUUAUCUAUAAUAUAUUAUUAUCACCCAUUUCUAAAUUGUAUUUUAAUUAUAUACACAUAUAUCCAAAUUACUCACUUUAUUUUAUUAAACCUUUUUAUAUUUUUUUAUAUUAUAAAUUGUCCAUGUAUUAAAUGCUAUUUUCAUGAUUUUAUAAAGUGUUGAUUGCUUGAUAACAUAUGUUACUAUAUUAUUAUUAUUAUUAUUUUUAUAUAUUAUUGUAUUUGUUUGUCUUGUUUUGUUUUUAUACAAUCAUACAUCAUGCAUCAUUUUCUCUUUUAUUAAUAUGUUUAAAUAUAUGUUGAAUUACAUGUUUAUAUGUUUUAUCUAUUCUUCUUUAAUAUAUGUUGUUUUUUUUGUAUGUAUAUUUUACUUAUUUAAAAUUUGCCAUAUUUUAUAUUUCUUAUAUAUAUAUAUAUAUAUAUAUAUAUAUAUAUAUAUAUAUAUAUUAAUUAAUGUAUGACAUUUAUGUUAUUGUUAUUAUGCUUUUAUUUACCUAUUUCUAUAAUAUGUUAUCUUGUAUGUUAUGUUUUAUUAUGUUAAUGUGCUCCUUCAUGCAUCAGUUUUAAAAACGAGACUUCAAAGUUUUCAAAAAUAAAAAGGCAAUGCUAGGUGUUUGGAAGCUUCGAAAAAGUAGUGCCCUAACUUAUUGGGUUGCAACUUUUCUCGUUGAGUUCGAAUAGUCAAGUACCCUUCUAAUUUUUUUUUAAGGUUUUCAAAAUACGAGCAACUGUCUUGGAAUUUCAAAGCGUUGUGUCCUAACUUAUUGGAUGUGGCAUUUUGUCGUUUUGAGAUAGGGAUUUCAAAAAGGGGGGCUAACUUAGUGUCAAUAUUUUGAUACAAGUGAAUCUCAAUUUUGCAAAAUCAAAAUAUUCCAAAGAGGAUUGCAUCUUAAAAUUUUUGAAUUUCCGACAUUAAAGACACUUGAUAGUCAAUUAGGUACCAAUUUUUGGGCGUUACGAGGGUGCUAACCCUUCCUCGUACGUAACCGACUCCCGAACCCAUUUUCUGAUUUCGUAGACCAAAACUAAUGAUUUUAAAACAAAACAUUUUAUAAGGUGAUCCAAUCACACCUAAAAAGAUUGGUGGCGACUCCCGUUUUCAUUUUUCUUAAAGUCGAUUCCCAUUUUCCAAAACUCGAUUUGAAAAUGGUUUCGACAAAUCUAAGAUAGUUAACUUCUUUCGAGAGUCAGACUUCAAGCUACCCUACCUAAGGCUUUACAUGUUUACAAGCCUAAAGAAUGAUACCUAGUACUAUUACUUCAUUUCUCUAUACAGACGCAACUCUAUGUCUAGAGGGCUACGAGUAUUUUAUCGAGUACUCCCUUGUAUCAUUUGAUCACAAUCCAACUCAUCUAACCUUUUCAGAAUUAAAUCAAGUUUAUGGACAUACCAUACAUUUAUCUAUGUCUAGAGAAAGCAUACAUUUUAAAAUAGCCCAAAUCGAAUGAAAUAGUAAAUCUAAUCAAGAUAAUACCUUGGUCAUUAAAGGAACUAAAGAUUCAUCCAAUAAUCCCAACCCAAUGAGAUAAGCUCAUGAGUUGGAAAUUAAAAUCCAAAAUGAAAUAAUCAUUCAAUAAUAUAUUUUCACAGUUUAAAUUCAUAGAAAUCAAUUAAGAUAGUGAAGGAAGAACUUCAAGAAGCUUUUGCCGAUCUAGCCCAACUCUAGUGCUGCAAUAUCUUGCGAAGCCCAGGAUUGAAUGCUUCUCUUUCUUCUUUACGUUGCUACUUUAUUCUUUAGUUGCUACCCUCUUUCCUUGCAUCUCUAGAUCUCCCACGAGAAAUUGUGUGAGAGGAAAAACCGCUCUCUUUCCUCUCUUUCUCCUUCUUUUUAUAGGGUAAAUCCCCUCUCAGCACAACUCUUUUCUCAUUUUUUAGGUGGAUAUUUCUAGUACAAGUACAGCUGGUUGAUAGUGCCACGAAUUAACAGUUGAGUCAGUAUCUUCCUGAAAUUUCCAUGGCAUUUGUACUGGCAAUCUAUCCAACCUUUUGACAUGACAAAACUUCACUCAUUCACUUCUUUUCCUCCUUUCUACACUUACGAGUAAAAGUAACAUAUAGUCACAUUGAAAGCAAAAUCCAAGCUUCAUGAUGUAAUACUAUAAAAGUACUAAUAUAAUUUCCUAAAAUGAAACUAAAUUUACUCAAGUACGAACAAUUAACCAAGUUUGUAAGCCUGAAAUAUAACUCUUUUCAAGAGUUAUCACACCCCUAAACCUAAGUUAUUGCUUGUCCUUAAGCAAAAUAUACCUAAAUGAAUUACCACAACAAUAUAAUUACCUUUUGUAAUGUCAAACAAUGUAAAGCAUAUUUUAUACUUCAGUUCUCAGCAAUAUUUUGUUUCUAAAAAUUUGCUCAAGUUUCAUUAGCUUGUUUAGCAAAAGAAGCACAGAAAAUGUUGCUCUAAAAAUAAAAAUUUCUAAUUACUCAUGCAAUUUUGACUAUACCAAGUACUUCCUAAUGUACUUAGUGUAUCUAUUAUCUAAGCUCAGUUUCCUUUUAAUAGAUGAAUACAUAUUUCUUUUCUAUAAUGGUCGAAUCUAUCAAAAGUCCAUGUCGAUUCUCACAUGUGUUCUAUUUGUAUUUGUUUAUUGAAGGUUAAAAUCUGAAUCGCUCAGAUCACUGUUGACAUCAAAGGUUAUUCGCAUCUCCGUCUUAAGUCGAAACAGUGUAUGUGGUGAUUCCAAAAAUCAGAUUUGAAUAGCCAUUGUUUUCUCCGAUUUGGCCGAACCUUAUAGGGUGAUUAGUGGUUGAUUUCUAACAAUUGUUUAUUUGUGCUAGGUACAGAUCGAAACCAGAUUUAAUCAUAUCUGAAGCAUAAGACCUGCAGACUACUGUUAGUGUUUCAGAUUUGUGUUAUUCAGGUAUGGGUCCUAACUUUGUAUGUUUGGUGAUUGUUGAAACGUUGUAUGUACUUUAUUGGCAUUGGUCAAAUGUUCUAGGGCCUUAAAGUGUAAAUAACCAAGUGUGUAAGUGCUAUAAGUGGUUAACCAGAUGUAUGCCUAUUGUAAUUGGUUGAUUAGCCGAAUGCAUGUUAUUACAUGUCUUGUAUUGUUAAGCAUGUUGAUUGUUACUAUAUAAAUGGAUUGCAUGUAAAAAAAAAAUAUUUCACUGAUUGAUAUUUUUUUACCGAAUACAUGUUAAGCAUGCCACCAUGAUUGAAAUUAUUAUUGACAAGCAUGAUAUGUUACACUAUUUGUAUAUCAUAAUGCAUUGCAUGGGGAUUGGGAUUGAUUGGUGACAGAGGAGUUUCGUGGAGUACCAGCAAUUUAUCUGUAAUAUUAUACUGGCAAUUAAUCUGCAAACCUAGGGAAAAGUUCGGAGUACUAGCGGUUUUUUUGCAAAUUAUUGGAAGUCUAAUUGAAAAAAUUGUUACCAAUAGUUUAUCCACAUUGAGCUACGGCUCUUCCUGUUUUGAUGUUAGAAUAAUGAGUUCUGGGAAAUCAUGGUGUGUAACAUAUGGAUGGGUAGGAAAUAUAUAUUGUUUUCAUAUGAGCAUGUCCAUGUGUAUAUACUAUAUUUUUAUGAUGUCUACAAUGAUCUAAGAAAUGUUGUUGGCUAUACGCUUUACUGUAGUUUGAAUGUCUGCAUGUAUAUACAAUGUUUACUAUGUUUCAGACUCGCUUUGAGUUUUUUGUAGCUCACCUCCAUAAUUUUAUCCUUAUAGAUAAUCCUCGAGAUUAGGAUCGGACAUGACAUUCGGAGGUUUCGUCUCAAUUUUAUUUAAUAAAGCAAUUUAAAUUUUGCUUUAUUUUGUUAUGGUUUCUGGGACUGUAAUUUUGUUAAUUUUAAGUUGUGGCAUGGGUUCUUUGUAAGUUUGAAUUUUUGUAUGCAUUCAAUUUCAUUAAACUAAACCGACCUAAUAAAUCUGCUUAACAUCACACUAAAUAAGGUUUAAAGUAAAAACUGAUGGUUUCAAUUUUUCCAAUGCGAAACAAGGAAAGGAGUUAUGAAAAGCAAAUCGACAAAACAAAAAGCAACUAAGUUUACCCCCAAAAUGCCACAAACAUAUUAAAUUUAUAACCUUAAUAUUAACUCGACUUAAAAUCUGAUGUUUUUGACAAAUAUAUGACAACUACUCUAAGUUUUCUAAAAAUAAAAAAAAUAAACGUUACAGGAAUUGAAUAAUUCUACUAGGCCAUUUCAAUCGUCAAUGUAACCUUUAGGAUCUAAUUAUAAUAUUUGGUUCGGGUUAGGGAGGAUAUUGUUGCGGUUGAAAAUUUGAAGCAAGUGGAAAAAUAAAUAUUACUAUUAACAGGAAAGUGUUGUCGGAUGUAAGAGAAUCUCUUGAAUUAUGGGGAGGUGAUGGAAGAAAGUCAAAUAUUGAAGGUGACAUGAAAGGGGUGACGUUGCUUAGUACUGAUAACAUGGGUGUAAAUGAGACAGAUGAAGUGGAAGUAAGUAACCGAGGCAAAGAAAGUGAGUGUGCAAGUCCAAUUUUAGAGAUGGAUCAGACACUAGCGUUCAGCCAUUCAAAUCAGAAUCGAGGUUACGUUGAAACAACUGAGGUGAUAGGUAAAGAUAAUAUGACUGCAGGCAAGGAAUUGGUUGAAAUUACAAAGAGGAUAUUGUAGAGGACUAUAUAGUCAAAGGAGACAACAAAGUUAAGAAAAUUGAGAAAGAAGAAACCAACGGCCUGUGGUGAACACAUUCCGACUUCAAAAACAGGAAGAACGCGUUGAAGUUGGGUAAGAUUGCGGAAUUACAAGUUGGUGGAGAUGAGGAUGAAGUUUUGAGACAUUUGGCAGCAAUUAGAGUUAGCUCAGUUCAAAGAAUGUUGAAGUUUGAUUUUGUUUUUUCUUUGGUGUACCAGUCAGUACCCUCAAACUUUCUUCUCUGAACCUUUCCUAAUGUUUCCCAUGAAUCCCCGGCGCUAGCAUGCAAACUAUCUUAUGUUUCUCUAAAAUAAGAUCUUCUCUCGAUUUGGGAUGCUCUUAGGAUUCAUUGCCAAAGUCUGACAGACAGAUGAAACCAUGGUCUUUGAAACUUCUCCCCAUCUCAAGGCUCUAUAUGGUUUCUGCAUAUGGGUUUUUUAAACACUAACAAUAGUAUCUUACAUGCUAAGUCUCGAAGGAAACAAAGAAUUCUUUUGGAUCAUUUAUUUCGAUUUUUCUCAUAUGUCUUGUUUCUCUUUGUCCAAAACUCCAUUAUUUUCAUCCCAAACUUCCACUAUGAUAAAAAAUAUAUAUUAAAUUGAGGUGAAAGUAAUGGAGAGCAAAUACAUAAAAAAAUAUUAAAUAAAUUGAAGAUGGAAAGUGACCAGCCGAUGCACAUAAAAAUAUUAAAAAUUUGAUAAGAAAUAUUAAAUAUAAAAAAUAGAAUUUAAUAAUACAAAAUUAUUUGAAUUCAAUACAUGUAAUAUUAUUGUACUGCAUAAUUUUACAUGAUAAUCUUAUGAUUAUAAUAAUAAUUAUUACAAUUGCUACUCAUGCACAGGUUUGCUUUCACUAUAAAGAACGCAUAAUAAAAGUUAAAUUUUAAACAUAUUGAUAAAAAUAAAUAAAUAAUAAUGCAUUUUAUAAUAUUAUUUUUAAAUAAUUUUAAAUAAUAAUAUUUUAAUUAAAAAUAAAUUUGAAAAAAAAUGAAUGCCACAAAGAAUGAAUUUAUAUACCUUAUUAUAUUAUAUUAUUUAUGACAUGAUAUGAUUUCUUACAAAUGUUUCAAACGAAGUUAGUUACCAUUUAAUCCACAAAGCUGUAAUUUAGAAGUGUCAAAAAAAAUCCUAAAUGUGAAAGUUAAUCUUGUGUGGAAUGUGAAAUUUUUUCUAAAAAACUAAUAUUUAAUUUACAAUUUAGCAUUUAAAUUACAUUUAUAAAUUAAUUAUUUCGAUACUUAAAAUAUUAGUUUAUCUAAAAAUAUUUUACUCAACCAAAUAUAUAAAAAAAAGUAUAUAAAUUACAUCCUAGCAUUAGCCUUUUUUUGAACAAUUUCAAUGCCUGGAAUUUUAAAAGAAUAAGAAAAAGAAUAUUAAAACACCAUAAUUUUAUAGAGCGAUUAAUAUCCUUGAAAUUUAAACAAACUUUCACAUCCGUAGGGCACUCUCCACCAUGAAACAUUUUAAACUAACUAUGGCCAUUUUUAGGGCUUUAACUGAUUCAUUUUUUAAUAUAAAUAGGGAACUUCAAUAACAUAUUAUUCAAGCCUGUACUCAACGGGCCAUAAGUGAUAAGCAAUAAGCAACCCUACAACUUCAAAUAAGGUUUUCUUCUUUCUUGCUUUCAUUUCUUCAAGGGAAAGAAAGAGAGAAGAAGAUACUUUUUUUGAAACAAAAAAGAGUUGUUUAAAAAUGGCGAAUAAUGCUAUUAUUGGUAUUUGUGCGGUGUUCCUGGUGGCCUUGGUGGUAGCCGUGGUGGUGGGUGUUACACACAUCAAAAACAAGAACGAUGGUGAAGAGAUAUCGAGUUCAAACAAAGCUGUGCAAGCCCUAUGUCAACCCACGAAUUAUAAAGAGACAUGCCAGAAAAGCUUGGCGUCGUCAAAUUCUAGCGAUGUUAAGGAGCUGAUAAGGACAGGUUUCCAAGCCGGGCUAGUCGAGAUAAAGAAUGUGUUGGCCCGUUCAGUGACUGUCCAAGAGUUGAUCAAGGAUGAGAACAACAAAGCGGCACUUGGUGUUUGCCAAGAGGUGUUGGACUUAGCCAUUGAUGACUUUCAAAAGUCAUUCGACAUGCUAGGGGAAUACGACAUGAGCAAGAUCGGAAAAUACCUUUUGGAACUGAAGACCUGGCUAAGUGGUGCAUUCACUAGUCAACAGACAUGUAUAGACUCAUUCGCGCAAUCAAGUAAUGAAUCAUCGCAGAAGAUACAAUCAAUCUUGAAGACUAGCAUGGAGAUUACUAGCAAUGCUUUAGCGAUGCUUAAUGGGUUAUCCACCAUCGUGAAAGAAC